AUUUUCAACUGACCGGAAGAAAGGACUUAAAUGAGCAUUUCAAACAAAAACAAUGUAACCGGACUAGUAAUGCGAAAAUACACAGCGGUUUACAUGAUUGAAAGACAAAAAAGUAAUAGGUAGUUCUGUACAAUACUCUACAAUAAAAACAACUUGGCCCUAAAACGGAGUGACGCCAGAUUUCCAUCAUGCCAACAUCACUGAAAUCUUACCUACUGCCCCAGUCCUGACAGGAGGUUAAACAGCCCACGGGUGGAUUAAUAGACGGUGGAAAACGGAGAAACUACAAGUCGAAAGGAGGCCCACGGUUGAAAAUCUCAGCGGGUGAUACAGGUAAUGACAAUCUCAACAGAAAACACCACCUCUAUGCCUGCAAAGAUGAUGGCGUCCUAUGUCAGAAUUUCUCUUUCCCUCUAUUCUAAAAGUUAAGGUAAUCUCGACUAUGGAAAAAAAACACAAUCAUUUGAAAAUAGUUCAAAAUAAUGCACACAGCCUCCAUUAAAUUUACUGUUAAGAUCAUUUCCAUGAUUACAUCUUUCUAUAUACAAUCUAUGAUUUCACUCCAAUCAAAUUUUCCCUUUGGCUACCUACCAUAAAUAUUGUAUUAAACUGGUCCAUCAUUUUUAGCGUUAUGUAGAACUAUUUUAGCAAGGAUACUGCUCUGUGCGAUGUUUUGGUGUUUUGCCCUUUAUUUCAAUCAAUCAGUCAGCCAAUCACUCAAUCAAUCAAUCAAUCAAAGUUUAUUUAUAUAGCACUUUUCAUACAAAUGAAAUUGCAGCUUAAAGUGCUUUACAACAGGACAAGAAAAAUAAGUUAUUAAAAUAGACUAAAACAGACAAUAAAAUAUAAACAUGGAUUUAUUAAUAAAAUAAGGUAAGAAGUGAUACUGAAAAAUAAAAAACUUAUAAUAGUAAUUAAAAUAAUGAAGCUUUACAUAAAAGCCAGGCUAAAUAAACGAGUUUUUUAGGUUACAUUUAAAGAUUUCUGUAUUUGCAGCUUGUCUCAGACCCUCUGGAAGUUUGUUCCACAGUUUUGGAGCGUAGCAGCUGAAAGAAGCAUCACCAAAUCUUCUUGUUCUGCUCUGUGGAACGACUAAAAGAGAAGAUUUUUUUAUAUGUAUAAGAUAUAUGUAUCUACCCUUCGAGUUUCUUUCCAAAUUGUGGGCAUAUUUUCAUCAGAGGCUUCUUUGUGUAUGGGUUCAUACUCAUCUUACCUGGAGUUUAAGUGUUCAGAUGUUUUUGCGUUUUCUCUUGAAGUAAUCAGGAAGGCUGAAAUUUGUUUCAGAGACUUACUUUGAUGUUUUAGGUUGUUUUGCUACCUGAGGAAUUUAUUUGGAGACCCUUUGUGUAGCCCUUGCUAAUGAAACCUUGUAAACUUCAUGCGGCUUUGAUAAUGAAAGAAAGGUGGAGUGUGGUUUAGGAGUUUACGGCCUUUACCGGCUCCUGACUUCAUUUUUUUUAACUACAAAUAUGUCACAGUCUUGAAGCUUUUUUCUCAGUGUAGACACAAAGAAAUCAUUAUAAAUCGUUAACCCAUGACCUACAGCAAAGAUGAAUGAAUCUGUGCCAGGUCACCUGCACCCCCUUUUCAAAGAUAACAAGCUCAUUUAGUAAUAAGGUCAAAUUUGGCAGCAGUUACUUCAUGCUUGCUCUGCUUUCGACUGCCAUGCUGUAAAACUACUGUAUCAAUAGAUGCAUUGCACACAGUGUCCUUGUAUGCAUUCAAAGACUGAAUGACUGUGCUUGUGCUGUUUAGGGGAAGGGAGAAGGCUUAAAGAAACAGGAAAACCUCCCCCCCUUAUCUACUUUUUUGGGCUCUCUUUCAUAUUCCCCUCUUUUAGACAUCCCUCGCUGUCCUACCUAGCUGGUUUUGACGGUAAAUGAUUGUGGAUUGGAAAGAUAAACAUACACAGGUUUGUUGAUUGAUUCCUACUCUGAGUGGAAUGUGUGUCUUUAGGGUGAGUGUCUCGGUUUCAGCGUCUUUGAGAUCAUGACAUCCACUUUCUAUCUUAAGCUAUCCAGUAUCACACAAUCACUGCACUACUUGAAUCCAGCUCUCCACCCCUCAAGCAAACACGUACACACACACACCCUGCAGCCCUACCUCGCUCUAAGCACACUCCAUCUCCUCUUACUGGUUGGCCCUCACUGGAAGGUAAAUAAAUCCUGUGGUUGGGGUGGAACACUGAAUGCCCUCAUAUGCCUCUGUAGCGGCUCUGCCUGAAAGAAGCCUUGUGUUUGGCUCCCAAAGGCUCCUCUGCUCAGCCUUAUGCUGGUCUUGCACAGAUUGGUUGCUUCUUGGAACACCCAAAAAUGGAAUUGGCUGUGGUUUUAACCUGAAAUGUUAAAAAGAUAGGAUAAGGCAGAGCUUUGUUUAUCCUUCGCCACCUACAUUAUGAUUUACAGCUGUUUUAGUAGCCACCUCUGGGGAUCUUUCGACACUUACUGUUGACAAAAGGCUGGUAUGACUUGAAAAAGCCAUGCUGUGACUUGCAGAGUGUGUUUCUUUUCUGUCCUGCAGAGGGCAGUAGACCCCACGAGAUAGUCAAGAAUCACAUGUCUCCUGUCUAUAUGUUCAUGUGUGCAGAGAAGAUACCACUUUGUACAGUGUGUUUGUGUGUGUGCACAGGGGCAUGUAGAGAUGCAUAUAUGUAUCUUCUAUACGCAUAUGGGCAUAUGUGCAUAUGUGCAUUUGCAUAUGUGUGCGGCGUCUCUCAGGUGAUCGCUCACAUGUGCAGUGGUAAUUGUUGUGCCGUUUUAUCUCCCUCAUUACAGGAAGUUUUCCCUGCAGCUCGAGACAAAGCAGAAAAUGAGCCCUGCUUAUGCCUGUUCUUCUUCGCUCUAUUGUUGGUCUCUCUCUGUAUCCUUCACCGCGUCCCCACAGCUUAAUGGGACGGAAGUGUAAAAGAUGUCCACAUCAAAGAGGGUGCAGGCCAGGACUAAUCCGCAAAUAAUGACAGGCAUGGACUUAACACACAUGUCCCCUUACUCACUAAUCUUGAACGGUGUAGAGCAAUCCUUCAUGGGGAACAUCUUACGACUAACACCUGAACUCCAGAUCCAGACAAAAUGAGAAAAAAAAGGGUCUACAGACAACUUUAUUUUCAGUUUGUUUCUUUUAGUAUAGAGGGAGUUGGCAAAGCACAAGUAGGAAUUUCAUAGAUGACUUUUCUCCAUAAACUGACUGACCAGAGUAGUAGACCCCCUCUAGUGGAGAAAGUUUAACACUUUUAAAGCUUUUCUUUAAAUGAAAAAAAGCAGAUGACUAGAAUACAGACACAAAGAAACCUCUGAACUUUAAGGUGAGCAGCCCUGGAGGGUAUAUUCCCCCAGACUCACCUGUACCAUUGUUUCCUCCUCUCUUCCUGUGUGAAGAGUCUCUGUUGUUUGAAUACAAUGGGGUCAGGGAAAUCACAGCACCUGCCAGACACACACUCCAUCAUUGUGACAGACAGUGGAGUGACAACAAACGGUACCAGACAACUGGCUUCUUCUUUUUUUUUAUCUGUUUAUGCACCGCCUUUAAGUUGGUGCUAUUACACCAUAAUUGUGUCUUGACCUGGAUUUGCAGAGUAAACGCUGUGUUCCUGUUCAGUAGUCUUUUUAUUGUCACAUUCUGGCUGUUUGAAUGCCGUGCGCCAUGUCAAAUUAUCUGUACUAAAAGUGAUGGGGGUUGCUGUUUGAAAACUUCACCUCCUUCCUUGGAUACCUGAAUCAAAACUUUAUCAUAACAGUUGUUGGAUUAUUAGUUAUUUUCACUCUUUACUAAAAUGAUAAUUGAAACUCUGAAUUGAGUCAAGAAGAUUUAUUUAGUCAAGUCUCUAAUAGUCAGUCGAACUGUAAGACACGAGGUAAACAAAGAUUUUACAAGUUGUUUUGAACCAAAUCUGCCUUUAGAGUAUAAAAGAAAUCUAAAGAUAAAAAGGAUAGACACAAUUAUAUCACCAUAAUACAGCCUAUCAUGAGAGCAGUAACUGUUAUUCAUCAGAAUUCAGAUUGGUUUUGGUGUUAAUGUAGAAACAAUUUGGGGUUUAUUUUUGGCUUAGUAUGAGCCCCUGCAGAUGUAUUACAAUCUUUUCUAAUUGCGUCAACAUUUUAAUUUGGUACCCUUAGUUGCAGAGAUAAUCAUGCAAACAUGCAAAUUACAACCUGAAAAUCAUAUUGCAAAAUUAAUAGCUGCAGCAUCCUCCAGGAAUCUACUGAUGUUUUAGUUGAACAUCAGCCCAUGUUUGCACCGUUGGCUGACAUGGGCAAAAAAUGUGCCAUGCGCUGAUGUCGGAGGCCAAUGUUUAUCUGUAUCUUACCGCAGCAAACAGUAGUUUCCAUGGACAAAUGUGAAGAUAAUAGAUUGGGAGCAUUACACACACUCUAAUAAACCCAGGAACUUGUGUGUAAUGUUCCAAUGAGUGACAAGAGGAGGGACUUAAAGUAAAAACUUCAACUUUCAUGGAUGUUGGGAUCACUUAUCAGCUGGGAUGUAAUUUGAUAUAUCCGUAUCAGACCUGUAUUUCACAAAAGGCAUAUCUCUUCGACAUUAACUGACAUAUUGUACCACCCUCUUUGUAAUAAUAAGCCCUCCUAUUUACUCCUUAAUCUUUCUAUGAAUUGCAGAGAAGCAGCCAGGUUUUGUCAGACUGACAUGAAACAAAGGUAACAGUGUGCAGCUAAAUAUCUUCAAAAUGUUAAGCCCUCCCCAAAAAAAGUCAGUAGAGAGCUAGAGUUGGGGAUUAAAACUCACUUUAGGAGUUAAAGUUUAAAGUCCGAUCACGACUGUUUGCAUUGUCUUUAUUUAAAUGUUCUCUUUCCAUAUCUAAAACAUCUGCUUUCAUACAAUUACUGCAGCUGUAUCUACAGUUUUUACACUCAGAUGCUGUUAUAAAUGGGCUGCAGAAUAAAUUGCCCUUUUUUUAAAGAAAAAAAAAAAGAAUGACUAAGCUUAAAACAUACGCACUUUAAAAGAUUAUCACUGCUGCCACUACAGUCUUCAUAAAUGAGCUUAUUUCAUGACCUUAUUGCAGCCAUACUUAAGAAUAAUUCACAGAUUAAUUUAUCUUCUUAUUUAGCAAUCAAAUCCCACAAAGUGAAAACCUAUAAGACAUCUAUUAGUCUUAAACUUAAUCAGUACUACAGUCAAUAGCAAGACGAUAGCAAAAGCAUGACACCACUCUUUCCUCUUUUAUUAAAGUGCUCUAAGGUUCACUUUCGACCUCUGAGUGAUGGGUGUACCCCAUCCAGGUAAAACCAUACUGAUCCCCCAUAGAAAACUCUAGAUUUUUCUUUGACCUUAUCCUCUGUCAUCUCCUCUGUAACCCGCUGUCAAUCAGCCUACUUGUCCACUUUCUCAUGUUGCAUGAGCUAUGAUUAGCAAUUUCUACCAUUAUGUAUCCUCCCUGCAUAAUUCAUGCCCUGCAAUCUUUUCUGAAAGUCCCCGGAGAGAACACGAGAGGGGAAUCCCACCCUGCUCCGACAAAACCCGCAGAGCUUGUCUUGUGGUAGGAGUGAAAAAUAAUGUUGAAUUUUUAAUUAUCCAAACAUUGGGGUGAUUUAUAAUUGAUGAGGAAAUGAUCAUAGGAGCAGGUUUGCCCCUCCGCCACCAAGGAAAUGAAAUCGUGUGGAAAGUGUUAGGUCAUUAGGUCGUCAGGGAUCGGGUGCUCUCCUGAUCCACAGACCAAGUAUGACAAAGCGGCAGAGAGGUGAUCCCAUACUCAGACCAAAGCGGAGCAAAUGGUUUCCCUUCCCUAAGUCGAGUCUGCUUUUGUCCAGCUGUGUUAUUCUGCUGCGAGGUUUGUUAUUGGAGAAGCCUGCUCUGGUUCAUCGAGGGAUGGGUUAAUGUAACAGUUUUUAAUGGAAAGGCCCUGUCUUAAAGGGUUACUGUUUCUGGAUAGUGAUAGAAAAUUUUCAGUCAUUGUUUACCUUGAUGGCAUUCACAGACAACUUGAAGUCUCUGAAUUUGGAAAUUUGGCUUUAAGAGUUAAAGUAUAUGGUCAUGCAUCUAUGAAAAUCAAAGUACAAACAAGAGACCUUGUCUAUUACAAAACCAAACUGAGAACAAGAUAUUUUACUGGUUUGGCUGAUUCCAAAACAGUGUUUGAGUUGCAGAUCCUGUUUGAAUCUACAACUUUUUUUCUUGUAUGAUUGCUUUUUGAUAAGUCCUGAAUUCUCUGAUUUGUGGAUAGAGAGAGGAAAGAGAGUAUAACCUUUGUAAUUUAAGGGUGCCCUUUGAAACACUAUUUAAAAGACACGUGCUUUGUGCCACAAGGGGGAAAUCAAGACAUCUGCAAACUACAGUAUAUAAUAACUAUUAUACUUGAUACUAUAGCUAAAACUAAUAACCUGUAUCAACUUUUAGGCAUGUACUUUGGAGUUUGAUACUCCGUCUGUUGUCUAAUCAGCAAACAGUGCUGAUUAAGCUGAAGAUUUAUAUAAUUUUUGGAAAAGUGGCACCAUUUUUGUUGUUAUCAGCUGUAGGGUCUUGCUUUUUUGUGCAAUGGCCUGUGAUGCCACACACAAUUAGGACCAUGCAAAUUCAGCAUGCUUGAACCUAAAACAGUUUGUUUGAGUUGUCUGAGGCAGGAUUAGAGGCAGCCCUACAAUCCGAAAUACAAUUUGAGCAGAUGCAUUUUUGCUGAAAUGCUUGGAUAUGCUCUAUCCCUGAAAAUCUCUGUAGCAUUAGUCAGAAACUGAUAGCUGACACUUUGAAAAGCUAACUACUGACUGCAUAAAACAUGGAUUAUAAAGUCCUGUAAUAGCGUAUCUGGGAUUUAUGUUUCUAGAAGCUGUUGUAAAUAUUUUUUUGUGAAUAAACUCCAAAUAGAAAUGGACAAAGGAAAGUGUUAGCUAAAAUUGUUCCUGUCCUUAAGGGCAGGGGGUUAUGGGUAAGCACUUUAAAAAUGGUCAUGUUUUCCUCUGAGUAAUUCUUAAUCGCUGUGUUUUCAUCUCCAGGCAAGACAGUAAUGACCGAUUCUGAGUGACUGACCAUGGGAAUGGGCACAAGCUUAAAUCCCCUCCAUCCUCGGCCCUCUGUGUGCUUUAGUCCGAUUCCCAAACUCCACACACACACACACACACACACACACACACACACACACACACACACACACACACACACACACGGUCAUGCACACACUCUCACACUCAGGGUUACAGAGUUGAGUCUGCUUUAUGGUGUAGCCACCCUUUGAUUCACCGCUCAAUGAAACUUGUGACUGUUUUAAUUAAGGGGAAAAUACACUGACAGUGUAGCACACGGAAAUCCGCCGCCAUGCACAUAAAGGGCGCUAAUGCUUUUCUUCCUGUCGACGCAAGGCUGGCCCCCUUUUGUCAGGCUGACCAUUCACUUUUCAUUCAUUUUCUUUUCCUCUCUUUCUUUGCUUCUUAAGUUUGGCAUCGCAUGAGGUCUGCGGCUAAUGACAGGAAAAACAUAUUCAGGGCCCAGCCAGGUGAGAGGACUUCUUGGCCGCUUUGGACUGACGUUUUGUAAAAGCACACACAUUUCUUGUGCUGUUUUCAGUCCUGAUAGAACUGCUGCAGGGGAUACUUUGGGGCGACCAAAACAGAAAGCGAGGAGUACUUCGCCCUCUUCUGUUGUUUGGUGUGCCUCAGGGUGGAAGUAGUUCAUCUCUGCUGUCCUACAGGAAGUACAAAACAUUAUCUAGUGGCCUAUUUGUCUUAGAUUCUUCGUGCUUUCUUACAUUGAUGAGUAAUAUUUUAGCGGGGCCAUUUGUAUCCCGCUGAAACUUCUAACUCUCUUCUAGUUAAAUAACAGAAAACAUUUGUACUCUCUGACCAUCAACCAGCAUCCACAGCAGCUGACAGCUGUCUGUGGGUUCCCAUGUUAGUCACAGAGGUACAGUUCUCUGUCGUUCUGAUAUUUUGACAGAUGUUUCUCAGAGGUUUGUGUAUGCCGGUGUGUGACAAGUCCUCUCUUCCUCUGGGGAUCAAUGUCUGUCCUGUUCUCUUGCCGAUCUGAUGUUUAUCUGCUGGUGAUCAAUCACACCAGUGACAGCAUGAGGGUUCGUGUUACCUUACCCACUACCUCUGAGUGGGCGUCUGUGGAUUGAAUACAGAGAACAGAUAAUAACUACUAUUAAACCUACCCUGUUUUCACCUUUGAUAGGAUUCUUAGUUAACUUCUUUCAGUUCCUAUGAGUUCAUGUAUAAAUUUUCUGUAUAAUUGAUACAAAUAGUAGAUUUACAUUAUGAAAUUAUAUAUAAAGUGCUUUGUACUUCUUACGUCUUCAAAAGUAAAAGAAGAAAUCAUGUUAAUGCGUCCAUAAAGACGUCAGCGUUUGGACAAAAGACAGGGUUCUACCUCAGCUGUCCACUUGACAAAGAGGAAAGCCAUUUAAUACUUCGCGAACCAACUUUUGAGUACCCCCAGCCCAAAAUAAAGCCCCUACAGUGAAAAAAGCCUCUCUGCACAAAUGAUUAAUGAUGACUCCCCCUGCUCUCACCAAAUGGGCCCAAAGUCAGGAUUUUCAUCCUUAAUGCAGGUGUCAGUAAUCCUCCUUCGCCUCUUCAAGUGAUGUUUUUAGCCCGAGGAAAUGCUUGACCAAAAUCCUCCCUUACUGCGUCGAAACAGUGUAAUCUCUCAGUCCUUGACACAGCAAAUAAACACAGCGCAGAAAGAGAAGCCGGCAACUUUAUCCUUUACUUCCUUCCACAUUGUCUUGUUGACAAGUUCCAGGGGGAACCUCGGCAAGGAGAGAAUAGGGGAGACAUAUUUCUUAGGUAACAAGCCCAAAGGGGCUGUGGCUGGAGACUGAAGGUUAAGUGCACGUACUACUACUCACAAAAGGGAACUUAACACCAUCAGGUAUAUUGUCAAUGCUUAUACUUCCUUUUAGUUCACUUAACCUUUAGUUAUUACUUCUUUCUCAAAGGAGUAUAAGAAGAAAUAAGGGAAAUGUGAGAAUAAGAAAAAGUUAUUUUGAAUUUGUAAAAUGCGACUAAUCAAAUAUCUCCGAUGCAGUACUAAUAAAUUAAAAUAAAGCAUCGUAUCCAGAAAGAAAAUACAACCUUUACAGAAACUUGAUUUAGGAUUCUUUUGAGUCCAUGACAUCGCUCACAUUUCUGUAGCCACAGCACAUAAUUGGAGGUUAAUGUCUUUUAACCUCUCUCAUAAAUUAUUCCUUAAGAUACCCGAACUCCUCCACUUGCCCACCCCUCAUCUUAAUUGGAAAGGACACAUUUUUCCCAGGAGAUAACUGUGCUAAGGCUUCAAACUUUUAGCUGAAGACCCUUUCACUGGGCCCGUGGGUCUCAUUUGGCUGCACGUCCUGUACAACUAGACAUCAGAGGUCAUUCUGAAUGAGAUCGGGUACCAGUGUAUUGAAGUACCUAUAGACGGUAAACUGGACAAUACCUGCAUGCAUGAUCUCAUGUCUGUCAUCUUACAAGGUUAAUAAAUGUCAGAAUUUGAGCAAAGGCUUUUGUUUGACGGAAGAAGCACAAAACUAAGACACACGAAACAUAAAAAAUCAAGUUCUGACGAGAGCUAGAGUGUAGAGUAGAUUAAACCUUUUCCUCCCAAAAAUGAAAACAAAUCUGUAAAGUCCAAGACUUAAAAACCUUUUAAAUCAGUCCAGUUUGAACUGCGACUAUGUCACUAUAGUUUUUCUACCUUUUGUUCCACUAGACUACAUGACUUCAGGUCUAGAGAGAAACUGCUUUACAAAAUAAGAAGUUAAUUAUAUCUGUAGUACAGUGGGGCCAUUUCAGUCAGGUAUGCAUUACCUCUAAAAUAUAUUUUUUGUAUCCAUGAUUUUGUCAUGAGGAAGAAUCCUGAUUUACUGGAAAAAAAUGCAUAUGAUAUGUACAAACUGAUCCACCACCUCUAAUGUCAGACAACUACAAACACUCUCCCUAUAACUGCAACUCCUCCCGCUCUACUUUAAAAUGAUUUCUGCAGUAUAAACCUUAAUCUGAUUAUAAUUCUGCUUUUUUAAGAUUAUUUUGUCAAUCCAUUUUUAGUCAGAACUACAUGUGUUGAAGUUGCAGCUUCUUAUCCAACACAGUUAACCUGAGAAUUAUGAGUAAAGUAAUUUUGAAAACUCUUUUAAACUUUGAAAAGACCUCAGACCUUAAAUGUAUUACAUGUUGUUUAAAAGUCGACGUAUUCUGUUUAAAAAUAUAUAUAUAUUGGACUCAUCUGGCAUUAAUUUGUCCAUUACAAUUUUGAGAAUUUUGAGAGUCUGUAAAUAUUUCCCCAAGAGUCAAAUAAAAGCCGAUUGUCGAGCUUGUUGUCGACUAAAACACAAAUUGAACUGUGGAAAGAGAUGUGUAAAAGUGCCUGAAGAGAUUUUGCUUUACUUCUUUUUUGGUACAACCUGUAAACAAGAUUGUUUACCUCUGCUGCUCUGCAAACAGAUUUGAAGUUGAGCAGACAAAGCAUAAAGCAGGUCUGAUAGAGACACAACAGAUCCUGAGGCCCAGGAUCAGCAGCACUAAUGGGAUUAGAUCUGCCACGCACACACACCAAACACCAAGCUGUGAGCUGACAGAAGAGCUCAAGACUCAAACAACAACUUUCACUUCAUAUCAUAAUAAGCCUUCCCUGUUAAUGGAGGAAAACUGAUGAAUUUUGUGAUUGUAAAUAGUCAUUUAUCAGAUGUUUUUUAAAACAUAAAGUCCUCCCUUCUUAACUGAGGGGAGUUCCUUUAUUCCCUCUUCAUUUCAGCCCCUAAGGGGCAGCAGAGGCCUGCUUUUAUGGAGGCAGGUCAUCUUUAAGCAGUUACUGUCAAGUGGGACCCACUACCAAGAAAACGGCAGAGGAACAAAAGACCAAAGUUCACACUGACUAAAAAUCAAAGUAUACAUUCUAAUCUUAAUCUUAUUUUACACAGUUUAUAAUAUUUGAUACGAGUCUUUACAACAAAAAUGAAAUCUUCCUGAGAAAAUGAUAAAACCCAAGUACAAAACUACUCCUUCUUCUCUGUCACACACACGCACAUACUCACACUUCAUUCGGCAAGCUCGUUUUCUGUCUUUCAGCAAACAGGUUGAUACGGUGAGACAGAGCUGCUGGGUGGGCUUCUCUGUGGGAGUGGAGGACCCUAGGUUCAAGGCUAUCGAAUGAAGUGCUCUUUGAUAAAAAAAAAAAAAAAAGGAGAAAAAGGGAGAGGAAAAAAAAUGAAAUGAGGUAAAAGUUUAGUGAUAAGCGAAAACCUCUGCUGGGCAGAGCUUGGGGUCGGGCUGUGGGAUGCGACAAAGAUUAAUAAAGAGAGCAGGUCUGAGGAGGGAGAGGGUGACGGUGAGGUUAGCUGGAGGGCCAGACCGCGAGAGAUGAAAGUGGGAACUCUCUCCCACAGCUGUCAGCAGUUUUUAAUGCAAACUUUGCUAUUGAUUGGCAGAGCCGGCCAGGUUCUCCUACCAAACUUUUCUAGUUUGGCGGCUUGUAGUUUCUCCAGGGUUGGAUGGAUUGUUUGGUUUAAGAAGAUCAGUAUCAGGUUUGUCUUCUUGAGAAUGUAUUUUAACCAGAGCUGGACUCGUAUAUUUACUAACACAAAUCUCUUCAAUCAGUUGACUUUUAUUCUGAGCCAUAAUUUGUACCUUAAAUAAUUUGUUGUUUCAUUCAUGUAGCUGUAAAAUAUGAGCUAACAGGAGCAACCCUGAUAUGAUUUGCUUCUCUUCAGUCCAUUCAAAGUGUCUAAAAUCAGCUCCUAUAUUAACAUCAGAUAUGUACAAGUGAGGUUCCAUGUAGAAUACAGUAAUCUUUAGCCUUUACACAGCACUGUAAUUGAAUCAAGCCCUGAUCUUUCAUCCCUGUAGUUAUUUUAAGACCUGAAUGACACAACAAAAAUUGAAAUGCACCCCCCUCCCCCUUUCCCAUUUCAACAAAAGGUCAGAAAUUCAAUCACCACUGCUGCUAUUGCUAUAAUAAUAUAUGUAUGGGAAACAGCCACAGUUACUGACCGCCAAAUUCUUGAGCUGCCUGUGGUCAUUUUGUCUUGCCUAAGAACAGAGGCGUCUCUCACUGGAGUUAUCCAUUAAUCCCAGCGGGCAGUAUGGGCGUUCAACACCGACUGAUUCUUUGAUUCUUUACUCUUUUAAUACUGAUGGUUUGUCCAUUUAGAUCCCUUUGCUUUUAGUUCAUUCUGAGUCGACUACAUUUUAUCUUUUAUUUCUGGGCUGUAACAAUCACUCUGCGGUGUUUCCAUAGAAAUACCCAGUUUUUGUAGGUUUUAAGUCACAAAUUUUUAUAGAGAUUUUUUAAUUUUUUUGUGUGUGUUUGUGUUUUUUUUAGGGAGGUUCACUCAUGGCAUAUACUCUUGGAGCUUUUGUUUGAAUAAUAUUGAAUUAAAAAGCAAGGAAACUACAUGAACAAAGUAUAAUCAUGUGAGUUUACGACACUGACAAAAUCCACAUUCAGCAUCAAAAGUUCAGUGUUGCAAACUCCAUCUGCGACAUAGUUUCAGGUUUAAGAAUUCAACAUUACUAAGAGCCACUUAAUAAUAAAAGCGUCUCUAAGAAGUGCGAGAUAAGAGAGAGUCAAAGAGUGGGUGUAAUGUUAACGGCAUGAUAGAGUACACAGGAGUGGGAGAGGAAAUGUGGCCCGAGAGAACAAAGUGAGUGAGGUGAAUGCAGGAAGUGGAGUUGAGCUGAAAUACGCAGCCUCAUUAAUGCACCGUCACAGCUUUCAUUAGCCUCCCAGGACACGCUGCACCAAUGUAAAUCAGACAGAAAGAGAUAUAAAGAAAUUACAAACAAAUUUUCAAAGAGACGAAGCAGAUUAGACGAGGAGAUGAAAGUAAAUCUGAUGUGUUUCGCUGUACAAGUGGCAGUGGAUUAAUGUUUCUUAAAAUGGAAUUAGGUUACUCUUUGAAGAACUACUUUGAUACAUAAGAAGCCCCCUCCCCAACUCCCUACUCUAACUUAUACUCAGUGUCUCUCACUCAAAGGCAGAAAUGUUAACAAAAAAAAAAAAGAAAGGAAAAAAAACAGUUUCUCAAUUUCUAUCUUAAACCAAACUUCAUAUUUUCAGUUAAAAAAAAUAUUCAGGUUAAAGAGUAAUGAUUGAAAAAAGGAUAUAUAGAUUUUGUGAGUGUUGGUUUUAAAUGUCCUGUUUUUUUAUCGUCUUUGUUUAAUUUAUAAACACAGUAAUGCUAUUGGACAGUACCCCUGUUGGAGAGAGGAGACAAAUGUUCUCUAUUGUGAUGUUUUUUUGCCCGUGUGCUGGCGGUUUCUUGCAGCAGGCACUUUUAAACCCUUGCAUCUAUUACCUUUCACCGGGUAAAUACCUAAUGCUGGAAACAUUUGUCAAUGUAUGCAGCUGGCUGAACAGAAUAGAUUAUUAGGAAGUGAGGGGAAAAACACACUGCUCCUCCAAACAGCACAAAGUGUGCCAUACAAAGUGUGUCUGUCUACCUCAGAAGACAUAAAGAAGUCACAGAAAUAACAAAUCUGACCAUUUGGACAGAAACGUUUUCUAUAUUAACUAUAAAGAAUAUUUGAUUCACAAUUAUUGCUCUAAACUCACAUUUACACUACAUUGGUCAAGUCAAAUGUUUAAUUAAUCUUAAAUCUUAAAGAGGAUAUAGAAAUAGCACUGAAAAAUGACAUUAUAAAAGGAAUAAUCUGCCUUUUUUGAAUGGCAACCAUGAGACGAGAGGUUGCGUUUGUACCUUCUUUGUGUGCUACAGGCGAAAAUGUUGCGCAAGGAAUUAAUGUACAUUUUAUUGCUUAAAGAUUUAUAGCCUACGCACUGCAGCUCAUUUUGCGGUUCAGAAAUGCUGCUGGAAAUGCUUAAGUAUGUACACAUACUUGUUGUGAAUUAUUGGAAAAGUGUACAAAAAUUUUAAUUAAUACUGAAGAGCGAAUGAUCCCAUGAAGUGAAAAAGGAAAGCUUGUGUUACAAUAUUUAAUGACCACAUUUUAUGGUUACCUGGAAAUAAAACAGCGACGUAAAGGCAACUUGGACUUCGCCGCUUUCAUUAAUGGUUUUCCUGAAAUGUGCUGAGAAAGCAAUGAAAUAACCAUGAUCAAAGUUUCAGAACAAUUCAAGAAGUUAAAGAGGCCUGUGUGAGGAAAAAUAUCAGUAAAAUACUAAUUAUAGUUUCCCUCUAAAUUAAAAGUAACUAAUGCUUGCAGCUGUAAAACAGUAGGAGCCAGCAGAGAAACAUGUUUUCUGUUGCAUGCUGUUUGAAGCAGCACAUGAUGCAGAGAUAUUCUUUGUAGAGUAAAACAUUCAAAGCAUCCUCAAAAUAUCCCAAAUGAUCAGCUCCUAGCUAUAACCUCUCAUAACAGCUUUACACAGCUAGAAUGUGUUUUGCAGUGGUAAAGAAAAUGUAAAAACAUCAAUAGUAUACUGGCCUCCUGUUGGCUCCUGUGGCCAGCGCUGUGCAAACAGCAGAAAGUUGCAGCGUGUGAAGGGUAAUGGGACAUCCAAUGCCAGGGGACAGCAGGCGGCAGAGUCACACACCGCUGCCGAAAGAAAGAUGAAGUAAUCUCAGGAAACAAGUAGACACACUCCACUUCGAAUUUCGCCCCAAACAAGAUUAAAGUGACAUUAUUCUAUGAGAGUGUGGCAAGAGUAUUAAUCUUACACAUAGAGGCAGAGGCUAGACAAACACACGCAGGCUGCAGGAGGAUUGGAGCACAUUCUUUAUUUUGUCAGGAUGUGGGGAGGUUCAGAAGUGGCCGAGAGAAAGCAACAUUAUCUCAUUUUUGGCCCAUUAUCCCCACUUUUAACUAUUUUGUUAGCGUCUCUUGUUGUAAUUCGUAAACAAUAAUGUGUUUAUAUUGUCUACACUUUUAUUCAGGAUUCCAUUGACUAAAGACAGUUAUGUAGAUAGAGAUGUUUUUUUUUAAACUGUGCUGAUGCAAAAUACAUGGUACAUUUCCCAGCACAGAUAUAUACUGGGCAGCUCCAGGCCAUGGCUGUAUGAACUGCUACUAUUAGUGUUUACAAUGGCUGUCACUUAAAGGCUGCUGAUGCUGAAAAUUGGUUUAGUUGAGAAUUUUCUUAUUUGAUACUGACUACAGGAAAAGUGUAACAAACUGGUAACAACACAACAGAUGUUAAAUUUACUAUUAGAAAAUACAGUUAAUUAUUGGUUAAUAGUGAUUUUUGUACUAUAUAGUAGAAGCAAAGCAAAGUGUCAGUGAUAGUUGAUGGUGAAUAUGCAUUUUUUGUAGUAAGUGUCACUGGUGUAAUGUUUAUUUCUUGUGAAGCGAAUGCAAAUCUGCUUGGGGAAGCUUUUAUCAGCGACGUAUAAAAUACAAAAUUAAACAUAUUAAUGUUAGGAGUUAAAAAUAUUCCCUAAAAACACUCAGGAGGGAAGUAUUCAGUAUUCAUGUGAAAAGUAGAACUAAAAAUUUCUUGAUUUCAUCCUGAAUAGUAAUGUUGUUGUUGCUUUUGUUAAAACUCUUUCACUUGUCAAUACAGCACUUUGAAUAUUCAUCGAAAGUCACACAUAAAUAUUGCAUCUUCAGUUACGAGUAAGUUUUUGCAGGAGAACCAAACAAUCCCCACCCACGCCAUUUAGGAAUUCAUCAGUUUCAGAUCUCCUAAGUGAGCGUUACAUUGAGGUUUUGUUUAGAACCUGUUGCAUAAAUAAGCCAGUCUCUAAAAAACCCCACUGAGAAAGACAGAGCUUUAAUGAGUGGGGUUUAAGCCCCUCCACCCAUCUACUCCACCACCCUCAGCUUGGUCUCCUAAUGAGCCAUCAUCAUGCAAAACUGCCAGCUUGAUACACAUUAAUUGGAUUUUCACUUUUUCACCAAUUAAUUGACCAGCAUUGUCAUGUUGGCCGGCCUCCGAGGGGCUUCUGAGAGAAUGGGGCAGCUUCCCCUUAUUCCUCUCUCUGACUCUAAUAGCCACUGACUGCAGAGGGGAAGCAUUUUUCCUUUCUUUUCUUCUUUACUACAGAGAUCAGCUAUCUCAUUAUAGGCUUAUGACAUUUGUUGGAGCCAAUCCCUUUUGUGGAGAGAAAACAGUUUGUGUGCUGCUCAGUUGAAGCCUUUACAGUUUGUUAACCUGCCUCUGCCAGUGCCAGGGCCCCCGGGGGGAAAAGCCUGAUGUGCAGUGAGUGACUCAGAUUCCUCGCACCCUAGAGGACAGACCACAGGGUGAGGGAGAGCAAUCCCACGCAGCCUUGUUCAGCAAGCACCAAAACAAGGACUGAAUGCAGUCAUGGCAUUUCACAACAGUUAUUUGAUAUGUUGACACAUAAGUGGUGUUUCAGAUGCUGCCAGGGGGCACGAUUGUUCGCAUGGAUCUGUUUGGUUUCAAUCCUUUCGGGGAGUGGUAGAACUAAAACUUAGACACCCUCUUCUUGGUUUAAAAAAAGAGAAACACGACCUUCGGUUAAUCAUCCACCCAAAACUUAUAUUUGGGUUGCAGACCCUAGUACCUUGUUAAGUUUGUGUCAUGACUUUGGUUGUUUAAAUAUUAACAAAGUCUUAAUGCUGUUUACAGUCAGGCACCAUGGUGAGAGUGAAAAAGGGAAAGUACCACUCAGCAAUACAACAGAAGAAUAUAUGGGAAUGUAGAAAAAGAGGUCUUGUUAAUCAUGUGUAAUUGGCUUCUUCUUUUAAUUACAUCCUCUUGCAAAAUCAUUAAUAUUUUACAGCGUAAAUUUGGAGCCAUUUAAAUUAAAAUCAAUGACUGACCAACAGCAAAGGAGGGAUUAAACUCACAGUGAAGAUCAGGUCGGGCUGAUCAUUAAUCAAAUGUUGCACAUAAAGAAGAAAUCCUGAGGCCGAUUAUAGUUGGACUGUACUGUAGUUCAUUAUGCCUGAAACACUCGGUGAUCAGCUUCAGGUCACGAAGCUUUGAACUAUUGAUUAGUGUAUUUUGUUGAUGCAUUGCUCAUUUAUAUAAACACCACUUACACUGUGAUUACAUUUGCAAACAUUACAUGCUUAAUUUGUCACAAAAGGUUAAAGAUCCUCCGCAAUUCCGAACAGCUUCGACAUAAAAUAAAUCAUAUAUUAUAAAAUGAGAAAACAUUUCAUAUUCGGUGUUAACAGCGCAAAUAAACAGGAUAUUAUUUCAUCGAGUUACUGGAUAGGUAACUUUUUGCAUCAGUGGCUCUCAGAGAACAGUGAGUGCUAUCGAUCCCGCACUUCAUUUUGACAAUUAUUUAAUAUAAUAGUUGUCUAAAUGGUUGCUCUGCGAUGUUUUAGCUGCCCAUUCAACCUGAAGUGUACAAAAACAAUAGCUGCUACAGCUCUCUGGGGUCAAUGAAAGGACACUUUGUCAGCAACUGUUUUUUAAAGGUAAUGUUGUUCCAGUAGCUGAAAAAUAAGGCAUUCCUCUCAGAUCAAUAUCCUUCCAGUCAGAGAAGGUUGAAGGUUAGAGGUCGAACCUGGAUAAAACCUUUGAUUGGAUAAUCAAGGGUAAUAGCCUUAAUUAAUCGAUUGAGGGCUCAGGAGGGGGAGUGGUUUAUAACAUAUAAUGUGUCGGUUCUGGUAACCAUGAAGGAUUCCAUUAUUUAUCUAGGAGUGUCCAUUAUGUCACAUUGGGGAGAAAAACUAGGCGUUUUUUUUAAUGACAUCAACAUUUAAUCAAGCAGAACUUCAUUAAUCCACAUAAUUAAUUGAGCAGGCUUUGCGUUGCUCCUUUUGCUACCUUUACUUUCUGGUCGGACGGACAUGUUUCACCAUUAUUGUUGUCCCAUCCCUCCAAGGGUUGUGAGUUAAUCUGCAUGACCCAGCACCUGUCACAUACUAAUAAACACAGAACUAAUUGACUUUGUUGGCCCACUUAUCAGCUGCCUCACCAGUCAGAGCAACCUCUGAGAUUUUAGUUUGUUUACAGCAGGACAACCAGGUGUGUCUCAUCAACCAAGAAAAAUAUACUUGAUUAUUUCAGUGUUCAAGGGUCAUUAUAGUGAUGAAGUAUGAUCUGAAAAAGUUAGAUAAAACACGUUACAGGUAAAUAAAGGUUAAUACCUUUUUAAUUCUUACACUUGAAAGACAGACAAGCUACAAACGCACAUGUCCUCAUACGGCACCUCAAAAUAUGGUGGAGGAUUAUUAAUCCUACAAAGGUAGAACUUCAUAUAAACCACACUUGUGUACAAUAAAACACUAGAAAUGACAAAAUUUGUCUUUUUUAUGAAAUUGACAAACACAUUCUGCAACAACAACAACAAAAACUUCUUAGAAUACACCAGAGUAGAGAUGCACCGAUCCAUUUUUGUGCAAUCCAGUCCGAUACCAAUACCUGAGCUGAGCGUAUCGGCAAAUAUCCGAUACCGAUUCAAUACUAAUGUUGAAUGAAUGAACCGUACACCUUGCCCUAUGAGUGAAGGCAUCAGGAUUGACAUUAGCCUUGUUAAAAAAAGGUAACAAAUUAACAUGGAUAUAAAUUUAUUUAAUAUUAUUUAUUAACAAAUAACAAAUUGCACAUUAGCACUCAGCAAAAAGAACAUUUAGUGCAAAAGCAUAGACAAAUAUAGAAUAUAGAGCGAACAGAAGUGCUGUGUAUGAUAUUGAUUAAAAGAAAAAAAAAACUGGAUCGGAACGCUGGAUCGGCAUCAUUCAUCAGAUAUUGGAUCCAGUUAAUAUCGGAGCCAAUAUCUGAUCCAAAUAUGGGAUCGAUGCAUCCCUACUAGAAAUGAGAAACUUCAUCUUUUUUAAGAACUUGAAAAACAAAUUCUGCAACAAAAAUAAAUAUUUCUUAGAAUACACCAGAGUUGCUGUUGUUUGUUAUUGUUGUUAUUUACAUUGAUAAUAAUAAUUAUAAUUUAAAGUCUAUACACCGCUUUGUCAAGUGUCCAGUUUGAUAACAAACAUGGGUAUUUCUGAGGUUGAUCCUUAAGCCUCAUCUACAGACGCUCUAGUCUUCAGGGCGGGUGGGUUUCAUUCAGAUUUGCAGCCUUUUACCGCUCGACAUUCUCUACUCUAUCCACCGUCCUCUAAGUAAAUGCAAACAAGCCUGAAAAAUAUCACUCAUAUCAAAUAUAAGAAUUGUACAGGUCUUUACUUAAUUCUUGGGUGCAUUUAGGGUCAACAGCUGUGGAUGUUUUGAGACUGCAGAGAUGAUGAAGGCCUUUUCCUGUCAGAUGCCUGAAUGUGUUAGCAACAACGAUGAGUGCUAACCAUAAAAAGUUGAGUGUCCUACUUAUCCAGCUGGAAUACACUGUAUGACCUGACUAUAUAGAGCAAGUGCACGUCCCAGCAGUGUCCUCCCAUACUCUCUCUCUCUCUCUCUCUCUCUCUCUCUCUCUCUCUCUGUCUGUCUGUCUCUCUGUUGCUCUUGUUGUCUCUUCCUCUUACACACUUUUGUGCACACAUGCACACGCACACACAAAGGCCGUUCAAAGUUUUUCCAGGGUAUUUCUCGGUUAAUUAACAGAUUAGUGGUGUGGGGCAGCUCUGAAGUUCAGAGGUCAAGACUAAACCCUCUAACUGGGAGGAUAAUCAGUGGCAGGUGGGUCCACACUUCUCCUGUUGCCCCUCACAAACCCCUCCCAUCUUGACUUGACUUGUGGCAAAAUACUCCCCCUCUUUCCCCUCACCUUGGUACAGGCUGCCAUCGCUCUUGACUUCUGCAGCUCUUAAUGCACCUGACACAGAGAAAGAAAUGGUGUGAGGGAGGGAUCAUCUGACAGAGGAGGAGGAGGAGAGGCCUGCAGUGGAGAAGUUCUGGAAAUGUGCCAUCCUUUCAAAUACACUGCCAGGACCCAUAUUUACAAAACUGACCAGUGGGAUCCUCUGAGCACAGUCUCACUGAAUGGAACGUGGACUAUAGGACCACAGGCCUGGGUCUUAUGCUAUAAAAUAGAAAUACAAUGAGACAGAUGGGUGCAAAAAGAAUGAAGCCUCGAGUCUGUCUUUUUUUUUUUUUUUUACCCUGUCUCCAUUCACUCCUCCCAUAUUCCAUUCCAGGUUCUGCUUGGUGGAGAACUCCAUUGUGAGCUUGUGAAUGGGAGACUUUGGGAGUGUCUCUCCUUCUAUUAAUUAGGACUGGCCAGCGUUUCCGCUCCCCAGUGAGCCCCUUCAUUAUUAUUUCUUCACAUUCUUUUGCUAAAGUUAACCCCAUUCCUUCUUUUGCACUUCAAAGACUUCUUUGCAGUCGAAGAGAAAAAAAAAAGCUAAAAUUUUAUCGUACGACACAGAGUCUGAAAGCCACAUCAUUAGAGACAGCGAUCAAAAUCAGAAUCAAAAACAAGACAACACUUAUGUCUGAAAAAAUGUUGUUCCCAUCAUAAAUCUUAAUCCUAAAUAUUUAACAUUGUCCAAAAGCUGCUUCUGUCAGUAGUAAAAACAUUGAUGGUAAACAAAAUUUAAAAAAAUCUGAUAGUCCCCCUUUGCAGAUUAUGAUUAUGACACUUUACAGAUAUGUGAGUUAACUCUAUCAUUUAAUAUAUAUGUUCAAUCGUGCUAAAAGCUGUACAAAUAUUCACUAUUGAGGUGAUUCAUGGAGAAGAGACACACUUUUAGAAAUUCCAACCUAAAAUACACCUCCCCUACAUCUGUGCUGAACAUCAGCAAGAAAAGAGGUCCUGGGGUGCAUUCUACCUCUGCCCAGCGGGCAUCCAUUUGCAGGAAAAAAAAUCACUUUGCCUCAUUAGCUACACACACUCUUAGUUUGUCACAAUGCCUUUGCUUGAGUCCUGCUAACAGAGUCCCCCCCUCCUCUCUGCUCUCUUUCUCUAGGUGGAGACUUCAGGGGCCAGAGGCACAUUUUGGGUGAGUGAGGCCUUUUCUUUCUAGCCCUCUCCUAGCUGGUUUAAGGGUUGUAAUUAUCUUUUGCUGGGGGAGGCUGUAAAUUGGAUUAAAGUGGAGGGUCUCGGCUGAGUGGAGCACCCCCCCCUCAACUCGCUAUCCCCCCCCACCUUCAGCCUCCACUCCCCCCCCCCAUCUCACCACUUGGUGGGCCACACGCUGAUAAAGUGCGGAAAACCGGAUUUGGAUUCAGCCUCAGUAUUCAUGGCGUCCUGCCGGAAAAAAUGAAAUUUUCCAACAGAAGGGGCCAGUAUGCCUGUGGUAUCUGUCCGUGUGGUGUAUUUCAUCUGGCCUCACUCUUCCAGAAACACCAUUACCUACGUUAUCAGUGUGCACCGACUCAGCCUGACUGGAUGAGGCAGCCUGGCCAACUGCUAUCCAUAUAGUCUCUGACCCUCUCAGUGUUGUUGCUCUCUUCAGUGCUUGUGGGUUGAUUUAUACUUUAAUUAAUUGGCUGUUUGUUUGUUUUUUAAUUUGUUGUGGGAUGCUCUGUUUGAUCAUGGUAUUCCUACAUAUCUCUUUAGAAAAAUUUAAAGGAAAAAAAAAGAUAUCAGAUACAAAAAAAACAAACAUAUGUAAUGCAUGUUAUUCAGACAAUGAACAUUAAAAUUUUGGGGGGCACGUGAAAAGAGCAGGUAGGGAAGGGAUGACUUUUUGGGGUUGAAGUCGUUUUUCUGGUGAUCGUAAAAUUCUAAUCCUGUCAAGGAAUGUCUCCUGGUCUUUACGGAUUGCUGGGAUACUGGUGCGUGAAAUGGCAAGUCUACCUUUCCAAAUGAUGUGAACCCUGUUUUCAUUGAAACUGCACAAGCUUUUACAACUCGUGGCAGGUGCAGCAUUUGCAUUGAAUGGACAUGUCUGUGGAGAUUUGUGCCCAUGACUUUAUCUGUUUCCCGUUUGAUUACAGGAACUUUGCUUUCUACCUCAGACUUUUUUAAAACUGAGCGGUAUUAAGGACAGGGUAUCGACACAGAGGCACCUGUUAAUCAUCUUGUACUGAACACAGAUCUUAUUUUCUCCAAUCAAAUCAGAAAUGUAUGCAAAUCAAAGCAACACAAAAACAAAAUAACAUAACUUUUAACAAACCCACACUGCAUUUUCUCCUCUUUUAUUUAUGUUUAUUUUUAAUCUAUAUUUUUGGGCUCUUAGUGCCUUUUAUUAGAGAGGACAGGGAAAUCGAUGGAGUAGGAAACAGAGAAAGAGGGCAGGGAGUGACAUGCAGGAAAGAAGGUGCAGGGUGGGAUCAAAACUGGACUGCCUGCCUGAGCCAUAACCCCCAUAUAUGGUGCAUGUGGACCACUAGACCAGUGGAAGUCCUUUAAGUUGUUUUUUUAGGGUUAGAUUUUUCUUGCAAGACUUACAAAGUUGGACAAAUUGUUACUGAUUUACAAUUUAAGAUUUCCUAAGUACUGAUUUGUCCAUUACAUGUUUGUUCAUUAUUUUAUUUACUCGGAAAAACUAUGAAUUAACACUGUGAUAUGUUGUAGUAACCACUCUGCAACAGGAGCACUCUCUCUUUUGAUACAGAAACCUUGACUGAAGGCUUCUUUGAGGAAAUCUUGGUUCAUGCCAACUUGAUGCCCUCUGUGGACAAAGCAGUAUUUAUACUCUCUUUGCUGACUUUGUCCUGUAAUGAUUUUUUGACAAAAACUUCCUUUCUUUUAACAGCCAAAUGUAUCACACGCUCAUUGUGGUCAUGAGGCUGGGCUGUUGGUUACGGGCUGUAAUCAACUUUGUCUGACACCUACCCUCCAUCUGUAGUUAGAGGCGUUGACCAUAACUGUCUGAUAUUGUGUUUAAGUAUACAGACAAUAAUACUGUGAGUUCAUAGUAGUGGUCCUUAUGCAGGAUGGAUGAAGAAGAAGGAACAGACUGCUAGCAAUCUAUCUGUAGCAACUCUCUGAGUGAUGAUUCAGCACUUUCAAAAACUGACACUCUUAAGUUUAUUGUGAAUCCAAAAACAAUAAUAAGGCUGGUGCCUCUUCAAGUUACGAAUCAUUUCCAUUUGUGUACUUUCUAGUGAUUCCUGUAACAGCUUUUUUUCAUUUCAAAAUAAAAACACAGCUUAACCAUGCAGGAAAUAAAGCAAUCUAAAUGAAGGACAGAAAAAAUAUCAAAAUAAAAGCUUGGAAAUGAUUCAGGGUGAUGUAUUCUACAAUGAAAUUAGGGAACAAAGUGAUGACAAACAAGAAAUUGUCUGAAAUAGUUAAAAUUAUGAAGUCAUGUGUCACUCCAUCCUUGUCUUGUAGUCUCCCAAUUUGACUGAUUGGUUUUACUUUCAAGUUUUCCAUCCUUAUUGCCAUAUUUAUAGCCAUGAUAAUCUUGAAGUAUAAAUAAGGUUUUGUGAUGGUCCUUCUUCAGUCAGAUGUCUGCUAAAGGAUACCUGUAAUAUUUGUUAGGAAGUCUGUGAUCAUUUCAGCAAAAAAACUGCACCUCUUUGUAAAAUAUAAUAUGAAUUUCAGGCAAAUAUCCAUUAAACUUUUAGCAAAGUUACCCUGAAGCUUCUGAAAAUUAUGUACAGUAUCUGAUAUGUUAAUAAAAGGUAACAGUAAUGAAUGAUGGUCUGUUAUGUUUCACAAACAAACUAUAAUCAGUGAAGCUUACACCAGAAAAACAACCCUGCACAUCCAAAACCUGUUGUCAGGUCAAAGGUUUAUUCUUCCCACUUUCAGACCAAAUUUGUGAAUGUAGUGAGCAAAGUAGCAUGAGGGUUUUCUCAGAGGUAAUACCAAACUAGGUUGAGUGGUCCCCUAUUGCGGGUAUAAUGACCUGAAACCUGAAGAGCAAUGAAAGAGAGUCUAUUGAGGAGGGUUUUUCCAUUCACGCAAAAUGUCAAUGCAUUUUCCAACAGACACUUACAAGGGAUCAGUGGACCCUCAAGUGUUCAUGAAGAAAAUAACCUUUCACUACUACACAGGGAUGCUACUUGCUCGAGCCAUUCUACGACCAUAACACCUCUAAUGAUUUAACUAAAUAGCUUUGGCAUUUUAGGGAGGAAAAAAUAAAAAACACGGGGAAACAUCAGCGGCCAUUCUGGGUUUACUUAUGCCUUCAAGCAAUCUGCAUGAAACGAUAGAGCAAAAGGCCACAGAGGAUAAUAGAAGCAGGUAUCUUGCUUCUUGAGUUUUAGUUACCAGCAUGGAGUUGUUGUUUUUUUUAUAAGACACUGUGAAAACAGAGCUGCAGUUAUCUGUGAUGCUCUUCUUUUGAUGCUCCCACAGCCGCCCGGCUUGUGCUCUUUUGCUGCCAUAGAGAUAAAUGGGAGGGAGUGCUGUUAGCAGGAGAUUCCUCAACACAGUGGGAGCUCAGGGCCGUCACUCUGAGUGUUUGUCUAAGAUAUGGGCUGUUUGUAGUACUCCCCACCACUUAUUCAUUUAUUAUUACACAGAAGAAAUAUGCGCGGGGAAAAAAUGUGUGUGCUUUUUUUUCAUUUUCAGUGUACAUCAUGACAACACUCCUCUUGUUUUAAGUUGGAGAACACCACCACUCCCAUACCAGUCAGAGCAGCCAUUCCCAUCACUCAGACUGCUAAAUAAUACAGGAGUAUGGUCACAUCAAGUUGAAGUGUUUCUCAAAUAUAUUUGUAAUUCAUAAGGCAAAGAAUUCUACAAGAAAUAUAAGAUCCAUAUCCAUGUACGCAAAACAUUCUGGAGGCAACAAAAUUAGUGCAUGAAGAUAAUUCAAGAAACACAGCACCGACCUGCAGUACCUUCAGGGUCCACCAGUGGGCUAAUGCUGCAUUCCAGUUUCCUCGGAAGUCAGAUGUCCGAGCUGGGAAUGAACGCUCAGAAAAAAAGUAAAAUCGGAGGCAGAAACAAGAUGGCUACGUUUACGAAAUUUAUUUUAGCACUUGUUACUUUAGUUAUUUUAGCAUCCCCUUUCAUAGAUGUAGCCACCUUGUUUCCGCUUCUGAUUUUGCUUUUUACCGACUUGGAAACUGAAACGCUGGUAACUCAGCUGUGACAUCAUUCCCAGCUCGGACAUCUGACUUCCGAGAUAGCUCAAAAGCAGCAAAAGGCCAGCAGUUGUGUAAUCACUGACCUAGGUAUAAAGGGAUAUAGCUUGUUUCACUUUGCAUAAAAACAAUUCUUUAUCUGUUUAUCGUGAAAGUAAAAUAUCUUGCAAAACAGCUUUUAAUGAGUAUUUUUUCAAAAAGGUCCAAAAGCAAAGAUGUAUUUUAGGAUUGCUUUCCAGCGGACAUGCUCUAAAGUGAACCAAAGUGUUUCCCAAAUAUAUUUUAAUUCAUAAAAAUAUGCCUUUUAGUUCAUAAGGCAACGAAUUCGACAAGAAAUUUGCCUGCCCACAUUGAAGUGAAAACUCCACAUUCAUUUACAUAAAACAUUCUGGAGGCAACAAAAUUAGUGCAUGUAGUAAAUUCAAGAAACACAGCACCGACCUGCAGUACCUUCAGGGUCCACUAGUGGGCUAAGUCCAGCAGUUUGGAAAUCACUGACCAAAACAGCUUUUAAUGAGUAAUUUUAACAGGCCAAAAAGCAAAGAUGUAUUCUAAGAUUGCUUUCCAGCUGACAUGCUCUAAAGUGAACCAAAGGUUUUAGCGAAUCCAGGUCUAUGUGCUGCAGAUCACCCACUGAUCCAACAUACUUGGAGCGGAUAUGUGGCAACAAAUGAGGGCCUUCUGUCUGUGUGUUUAUUAGACAGUAGUCUGAACCUCCCUUUCAUCUUUAAUUUCCUGCCGUGUCAUCCGAAGACUGAGAUCAAACAGGGGACAAAGUGACCCUCCACGCUCCAGGCUCCUCUGAGGAGAGAGAAGAACCCCCACUGCUCCCUCGCCCUGACCCUAUCUCUCUCUCCACUUCCUCUUCUCACCACCCUCCUCCACAGCCCAGACCUUAAAAGGUAAUACUUAUCAAAGCUGUUUGUCUGCAGUGAGCCUGUCUUAUCUGCGGCACUGAUUAGUGAAUGACUCGGGAACCACUUGUGUACUCACGGCUUCAUUCCGUCGUUGAUGAACUACCUGAGACUUGGUGUUUAGUUGGAGCGGUCGUUAGUCUGUUAAAUUGAUUUAAUCUGCUUUUAAUUCGUAAUUCGCCGUCUUCUUUAUCUCCUUGGUGUUCACCCCCCAAAAUGGCCGUUCAGCGUGCCUCUCCUUUCACAUCAGAAAAACUUUGAUUGCCAAUCUGCUUGAUCCAUGUCAAUCAAACAUCUGUUCGCCAUUUUUGUCCACUGCUGCACCUGCUGACCUCCAAGUGACCUGCAGAAUAAGCAGUGAGGCGGGAAACCACAGGAAGCAAUUUACUCUCCCAAAGCUACCUUGGAACGGGCGAGCCAAUCAGAGCCCUGCACUGAGCGUCCAUUUUUUGAUUAAAUGUACUCCAGACCAGGCUGCUUAUGUUUGAUUUUCUUUCUUUUUAACUGCACCCUCAGUGUUACAUAGGCAAAGGGGAGGUGAAAUUUCUCCCUUCCAAAUGGAUUGCAAUUUCCCUCCAUUUAGCACCUGAAGGUAAUUAGCUUGAAGAGAUUGCAGAGUGAGAAACACGUUCAUGGAACAUUAACUCUCGCACAUUCUCCAGUUGCAGGGAAUUAAUAGGAAAGAUUAAAGUUUAAAGAGAGCAAAUGCCAUUAGCUCACAAACCCUUUCUCAGGGGCUGCAACCAAACCAUGCUAAACCAAUGCUGCUUUUAAAAUGGCCUUUUUUUUCAACAGAAUUCAUCAUGUUACAUGCAAAGGUGCAUUAGCGUGCACACUUUGAUGCAUGCGUUUGUGCGGCAUGUCGCUCGCAGCUUUAAAUUGUCCAGUUCAUUGAGUUUUUGUGUCCUCUUUGCUGCCCCUGCAUUGUGCGAGUAAUUGGCUUUAAAUUUAGCAGCUUGCUGGAAAAAAAAUGUAAACACAUGAAAUAAUCAGCAUUACUGCUUCCACCUCUCCAGCCUUUUUCCCCGACUUAUCUUGUCUCUUUCGCAGUGCCUUCUGGGAUUCUUUAAGUCUAUCUAUAUGUGUAUCUAAUCAUUUAUUUCCAUCUUACAUUGAGUUUUCGUUGGGUUAUACUUUUCUCCACUUAUUUGCCCAUUUAGUCGUUCAUCCAUCAAUCUAUCUACCUUAAGGGGAUAGAGGAGGAGAUGGCAAUUGGCAAUGAAUUUUUAGAGGCCAUCCCACUCACAGAUUCCAUCAUAGGCGGAAAAAUUCUGUGAGGUAAAAAAAAAAAAAAAAAAAUGAAAUUGAGACAUGGUAGAAUUUAUUGCCCAGAAAAUUCCAUUCUACUAUCUGAUUUGAAAAGUCCAGUCCUCCUAGCUUCAGAAAAUCUAUUUCCCCACAUUUUAAUACCCCGCAUAGCAGUCCUCAUAAUUCAUUCGGGUGUGUUAAGCUCAGUUUUAUUAGAUCUGAAACAAAUUUUGGUGGGGAUCCUAUAGGUCAUUAACCAUGGAGUAAUUUUAUCCUUGUUUCCCUAAUGAUGCCAUAAUGGUGAGUGAAUUUCUUAACUAAAGACCAAAGAACAUUGUGAAGGUCAGCUUCAUCUGCAGGCUCCUUCAAGCGCUUCUCAGAGAGAUUGGAAAAGUCGCACAUUUUUGAGGAGUCAUUAAUAACCUUAAAGCUGAGAGCCUAUUUGCGUUCUCGCUCUCUACCUUUUAAUUUCCCUGCUUUGUCACUCUCUCUCUCUCUCUCUCUCUCUCUCUCUCUCUCUCUCUCUCUCUCUCACUCGGUGCCGUUUUUUCCCCUUGUUCUGUGAUUGCCCUCGUGCAGAAAGAAAGGAAUGCUGUGUGUAUGCGUGUGAAUGCGUCGAUGGGAGUCAGAGGAAAAGAGAGGGAGAGCAGAAGUGGUGGUGUAGUGACAUACAGAUCCCAGAUGUGAUGCUGCUAUAAUUUGAAUUUUAUGCCUUUGUUAUCGCUUUAAUCAUUUUCUUUAUUCGUUUUGUUUCACUGGUCUGGGAGAGACACCUGAUAGGGUAAACCACCUAGGGACCCAUUUUUAUUUGGAAUGUGGUGCAAGGUCUAAUUAGAAUUUGAAUUUUGCUGAGCCUUGAAAUGGCUGGUACUUUAUCCUGAUCGCCUUAGAUAUUGUUCCAAGUCAAUCAUUUGUCAUCGCAAAGCAUGCUGGGAAGGUUCUGCUAAUGAAGCCCUGGGUUUCUUCAGCAUUUUUUGCUGCCCUGGCAUUUUUGUCCAUUUAGGCAGCCUGAUGUAGGGACGACAGUGGUUAUAUAUCCGUGUUACAACAGCAGCAGGAGCUCAGUGUAGCUGGACUGCUGGUGUCCCAUCCAUCUGGACUGACACCAUCCAACAUCCACUCUCUCUCUGCAGGGUGGGGAGGAUCUGAGACUUUCCUCCCAGAACAUCACGUAUCUUCUUUUUAUAAUCCGAGACAGGGCUUUGAUCUGUUCAUUUCUACGCUGUUUGAAAGAAUAUGAUGCAGUUUUGAGAUACAUCUCUUUUAACACAUCACUUGAAUUGGAUUUUUUUAUCACGAUCAACAACUUUCAGGAUUAAAUUCAUGUUUAAGUCCUUUUUAUUUCAAACAUUGGAAAACAAAUCAGGGGUUGAUGAUGAGCUCUUGACAUAACUUUUCUUCUUUAAAUUCUUCUGCAUUUUGAAUCAUUUCUACUUAAUGCUACUAAAACUUCAAUUUUGCCAAAACUCCUAUUUAAAGAGCUCACUGUUGACUGCUAUCAUUACCCCCAACAUGAAGAUUUUACAUGUAAAUGUCAUGACACAUAAAGAUACUAUAUUGUGGUAUGGGGCUGUAGAUUUGACUUUGGCCUUCAUGCUUCUCUGUGUUACUUUUGUUCUGCAUUGAUUUUGGUGCCCCCUGUGGACAAAGUAGUACCUCUCAUCUAUCUGCUGAUCUUGACUCAUAGUUGACUGAUUGCAGUUUUUCAAAAUGCUAAAAUUGAAAAUGAGUCUAGACCUGCUCUUUUGGAAAGCAUCUUAGGAUAAUGAUUGUUGUGAUUUAGCACUAUAUCAAUGAAAAUUAAUUGAUGGGUUGAUAUUGAGAAAGCUGGUUGGCUGAUGGCCAGUAUGUUAUACUGACAUCACAUUGUGAUUUUUUUCUUUUUUCCUUAUCCACAUUCGACAAAAUACAAAAAUUUAUAUUACCAACAAAUGAGAAACAAAGAUACUUUGUAAAGUAAAAUAUUGCCGCAAAAGAAAAAAAAAUCAUAUAAUUCAUGCGCAAUAAAAUCAACUAUAGAUGGUUAAAUAUAGCCAGUAACAUGUUUUAGAUGGAUUUUUAAUAGAUUGAUGAAAAUAACAAAUAUCUUGGGCUAUGCUCUAGAUUUCAGAUCAUGGCGAUACCAAACUGCAUUACUCCAUACACCAUAAUAGGAGUUAUAUUAUACACUAGCCAGUGACUGUUUAUAUAUGUUGUGCUGUCAGUUGGAAUGAGACAUUGUGUUUUCAUUUAUAGUUAGUAGUGACGUUAGCAUUAUGAGGGAAAUGUUGAUGUGAUGCUGAUUGUUCAAUAAUGACAUCAACUGCCUGAUUAAUCGACCAGCUGAUUCAUAGGUCUGUCUCUGAUUUUGACCCGUACAAGUGAAAGUGGUCAUUUCUGAUGAUGAAUCUCAUCCUGUUUCUUUUUAACAAUCAGACUAAUCACUCUAGUGAGUCUUUGUCAUAGGAAAUGUAUAUAAAAGUCGUUUUGUCAAUUACCGCAGCUGUUGCAGGCAUUAGAAAUAACCUCAUAAAUAUAACCUCAUAUAUCCAGUUCUGAUGGUCUUGUUUGCUUUCGUAGCUCAUACAGUGAAAAUCAUACAAUUUUUAUUAACCAGUUAAAAACUCCUCACAAAAAUGAAAAAAAGUCGUUACCUGUACCCAUGGAAACUUGAAUGCUGGACUUUAACUUAUCCAGAAUGUAUUGAUAGUAGCAUUAUUAAACACAGUUAAACUACAUAUGCUUUUGACCGCAAUUUUACUUGUCAUAGUAGACUCACCCAUCAUCAAACACUGCUAAGAUAGACAUUUUAUUGAUAUGAUACAACAAAUAAUGAAAUAAUAGAUAUUUUUAGUAGUUCUGAGAUGAAAUGAGACUUCAAAUGCAGGAUUUGUUGAGUUUCUAUUGUGAUGUUGGUGCUGAUAAGAGUCUUUUAAAAGUCUUUUAAAAACACUCAUGAAGAGAAAUAGAAAACUUCUGAGUUUCCUCAGACAUUGUUGAAAGAGCGGGAGAACAUUUUUGUGCGUGUCUCUCAUUUAGAUGGAUUCCUCUCGGGGACAGGGCGACUCGUAGCUGUCCUGUACGUCGCUGUGUGAACAGGAGAAGGUAAUGGUGUUUUGUCACAGCCUAUCUGGGUUAACGUGUGUCCUCUUCUCAGGUCCCCUCCGAUGCAUUUUAUUUCCCGAGCGCCUCCUUCGGAGAGAUUGGAGCUGACAGGCGUUAACAUUUAGAAAUGUACCAAUAAAUGGCAUUCAUGGGUGCUGAUAUGCAGUUUGCAGGUGGUAUAUGAAGAGGAAUGCAGCAGCUCUGUGUGCAGCAUUGGAAUAUUAACUUCAGAGUUGUUAUCAUCUAUUAAUUAUGAUCUAGUUUCAUUGUGCAGAAGAAAAGCACACACUGUAGAAGUAGUUUCUUUAUCAUUUAUGCAGGAUGGUUGGUAUUCAGCUUGAUGGUUUCUCUCAGAUCUGCUUGAGUGGGCAAGUAUCUCUCCGACCAUACACACGGGACUAGACUUUUCUGUUAAUUGUGUUUAAAUCUAAUUGGAACUGAAGUAAAAAGUCUAGCGAGGCUGCUCUGAACUCCUUUGAAAAUAAAAUAAAAUUCUUCUGACAAGAUGAUGGAUCACCUGUAAGUCUACCUGACACUGAAAUUAGGGUUUUUAAUGACAUGCUGCCUCCUCCUAGAUGUGAAAUUCAAAUUCCCUCCCUGGUCUCCCUCCCUGUCGUCACCUGUCCCUUUGACUCGCGUACGCCAAACACAGGCACUUUGUCUUUGUCACUGCGAGCAGGACAAUGUUUUUCACCAGCAAGCUUUUGUAUUAACCAAUCUCAUAUGGAACUGAGGACUUGGCUCAUUGAGCACCAUGUUGUUGUUACGUGAGCGUAUUUUUCCUUUCAUAGGGACCAGGCGCAGAUUUCUUGUGCCUCUUAUUUUAUCCGUGUUGUGGAGGCCUCCUUUUUGCUCCAAACAUCAUUAUAAUUAUAUUUAUCCAUUAUUAAAAAAUUAUGCACAAAGAUACUUAUUUUAUUGGAUAGAUAUUGAGAAAUGCUUCCUAAAUAGGAAAGUUCAAUUAAAAAAAAUGCUGUGAAUGAGGGUUUUAUCUCCGUAUUUGAGCUCCUCUGACAUCGGUAUGGUGUCACCUAUAAUCAGGUGUGGCACCUCUCAUGAACACCCGCACUGGCUCCCCUGUCACCCCACAAUGCUGUGUUUCACCGAUGGCCACAGUAAUCCAUCCUGAAGCAUGAAGGAAAGGCCUGGGCCGGCUCUGGGACUGGGGGCAGUGAGAAGCAAAUGAAAAAUCAAUGCUACACUGACACAUUAACUUAUCCUCCAAUUUCAUAACUGGCAUUAGGUGUCAGGAGAAAUCUGUAGCGUUGAGGUGGGUGGUCGGGGCCUUAUUGGCUUUCAUGGUCACCGCAUGCUCUCAGCUGGUGGAGGAAGUCAGCGAAAGAGGAAAGUUACAGAGAAAUAAUAAAAGACAAUGAAAACUCAAGGACUUCAUCGGUUGAAUCUGUUAGACUCAGAGAGAGAAAGGUCCAACGCAGCCUACUUUAGUCAAUUAAUUUGGAUUUAAUCAUCCUAAAGUGUGUCAUGUUUAAUUUAUAUGUAGAAUUUCAGUGCUGAAUUGGGAUUUCAUUUGAAGACAUAUCUAAUUGUACAAAUUACAGAUUCAUGCGAAAUUGUAGCUGUUUUUUUCCCAAUUUUUACAGAACAGUGAUGCUGAAGACUGCUGCUAGACUUGGACCUCGGGACUUAAAAUUGAUGUUUUUGUUUUUAAAGAUUUAUUUUGGGGCUUUUUUGAUUUCAUUUGGAGAGAACAGGACAGUGGACAGAGUAGGAAACGGGGAGAAAGAGGACAGGAAGUGACAUGCAGGAAAGGAGCCACAGGCUGGAAGUUAACCCAGGUCGACUGCUCAAGGCAUAACCUCCAUGUACAGGGCACACAGGUAGACUGCUAGGCCAGAGGUUGUUACUUUUUAGGAAACUACUCUUUAACAACGGUCAAAUCAAGAACAAAUUAUGUCCUGACCUCCAGUCAGUUUUUAUAUCAGCAGUUUUUGUAUUUCUCUGACCGUAAACAUCAAGUGCUUUGGGUGUCUUGACAAGGUCAUGGACAGUUUAAACAUACUUGAGUUGUCAGUGCAUAUCUAAUGGAGAAACACUUGGAAUAAAGCUGCUAACAUUAAUGAGUGAUUGAGAUUAUAAUUAACAUACUAAUCAAAGAAUUUGUCAUAUAAAGUCAUAUGCCUUACAGUCGCAGAAAACAACAGUUUCAAACAUACAGACCUUGAGUAAAACAGAGACAACGGCCAAACUGGAACUCCUGAAAAGUGGGAAUACUGUCCAGAAACCAGUGCUAGGUGAAUGUCAGUGAGUAAUCAAAGUUAUUUCUCAUCACAUUAAGACUAACUCAACACUUUGUACAUAGACUCCUGAAUGCGACGUAGGUGAAUUACUCUUUGAAAAAACAAAUAUGAGCUCAGUUUUUCACAGAAUAAGCAUCCUGAAGUUGUCUCCUACCUCUAAGAAACCACAGUGAUAAAGCAGUGCAGCAUUUAGUUAAACAAAGAUGAAUCUAAAAAUUAAGAUCAGGAAGCACAGUAACGGCUUCACGUUGUUACUAUGGACAUAAAAAUGGUUUUGAAAUGCAAAAUAAUAGAGUUUUGAAAAUGUUCUUUAAUAGGUAAUAAAUCGUGACCAAAAAAAAUAUUGUUGACAGCCCCUGUUUGAAUACAUUGUUACUCAAUGGCACAAGCCUUGCAUGAAUACUGACCGCUUCUCUUUAUCGAAGCUGCUUAUAUACAUAUGUACAAAUUUUAAAAAAGGCAAACACCUUUAAAUUCAUCAGAAAACACAAUUGCUGUAGAAAAACACCAAUAUUUGGAACUAGUUUUGAGGAAACAUGUUCAGUGUAUUUUAGAAAAUUCUUACUUUUUCAUGGUGUUAAUCCGUGUUGUAUGCUGUAAAUGUCCUCAUACACAUGGAAAUAAAGAAUUAAAUGACUUUAAGGACAAAUGAAGGAGAAAUGAUUUAAGAAAAUGACACAUUUUAUCGCUCUCUUUGCCUUUGAAGUUCCUCUUAAUUCAAAAUAAGCCUGGCGUUCAUCUGUCACAUCAUAACAAUAAUAAUCUACAGCAAGUCAGUGGAAAUGGUGGAGAGAAAAAUAGCCUUCACUCGUAGAGCCGGCCUAAUCAGUACUCUCUCUCAACUGUUAAAUGUAUUUAAACACUAAAUUAACAACCCAUAAAGGGCCUCUGGUACACUACAUUCAAAUUAGAGCAGCUUCUUAUUUACUGCCACAGAACUGCAAAAGUGACACUUUCCCUGAUCACAUUAGGAAAAGCAACCGUGUGACCUUGGAGUAAUGGAGGUGGAUGAGAUACGAGCGCCACCACCCUCAUCCUCAAAAACAUACAGAGUCUCUGUAUCCUCAGCCAGCAGGCGGAGAUGGAAAAAAAAAAGAGAGACAGAAUGAUAGAAAGAGGAUGACUGUCCUCAUCUACAGCGUCAUUAAAUCAUCAGCUAAUGUUGUUAGCAUCAGUUCUGCUGCUAAUACUGUGGAGAACCGAUUAGAUUUAUGAGAGUGAAAUAUGAGAGUUAAAAAACAGAAGGAAAAGAGAAACACUGGAGGUUUUAGUAAAAGAAGGAGCUCAGCCAGCGCGCAGUUCACCUCUAAGUUCUCUGCCGGGGAGUGUUGGUGUCAUCUUGUUUAGUGGGAGUUGAUCGUUCACAUAUUUAAUGCUUUAAUUACACCUCAACAGCUGUGCACAGUGAUUUAAGUUUAUGGAUGUGAAAGCUCUUAAUUAUGAAGCAAAACGCAUAAAGUCAUUUCUGAUGGCGGAUGCAGACAAUUAAAUUUAUUUAAGAUUUUCUGCAGAGGCAGAGCAAACGGCUCUCUGAAAAUGACCCUUACUGAAAUGCACAAUAUGCUGUAAUGUGCCCUAUAAUGUAUGAUCAGAUGGAACAGACGGCAUCAAUCAGGAGGCAUCAUUGAAAAGUAAAGAGCAAAAUCUUGUUUUUCCUGUUUACUGUGCACAUGAAACACUUCUCUGAAUAAUGAAGGACACAAGGGGGACAAAUACUGAGCCUCAAAGGGAAGGACCUCUCUAGUAAAAGGAUGGACAGAGGGGUUUGAUGGGCCUUGACAGCGAGGCAGCAGUUCCUCACAGGUCAUAUCCCAUCCAUGCUCUCUGCCAGUAAUUUCUGUUCCUAUAUGCAAAUUUUGCAAAAAGAAAGAAGAAAAAACAUCAUUCAGCACAGAUAAUCUCAAUUUGUAUAUAAUUAUCAGAGCAAGUGGGUGUGCAUGUGUACAUUUUGCAUAUUUUUUAACUUUUCGGUAUCAUUUUUUUUAAAAGUAUUUUUUGGCAAGUUUUUGCCUUUUAUUGAUAGGACAGGUUGGAAGUAUGGUGAGGGGGCAGGACAUACAGCUCAUGGUCUGGGCUGGACUCGAACCCGUGACCGCUGCAGGAACCGUGGUCCGCUAACCCACUAGGCCAUCUGUGCACCCCUGUGUUGAAAUUAAUUAGAACAUCUGUGUAACUCUCUAUGGAAACUGAGUUUCUCACUGUCUAUCAAGACUGCUGCUUGUAGAUGAAAAAGGCUUGCAAGUAGACCUUGAUUUGAGUUUUUUAGGGUCAAACCUCAGAGUAACACAGUACUUUCAUUUAUAUAAUAUUAUGGAUGCAUGCAUAAAAAGUAGUUAAAAAGCCACAUUGGAUUAUUUUUUUUUUUUUUUUUUUUUCAAUUUUUCUGCCAUUUGCCCUUUUUUUAGUUUUCCUUUUUAAGCCAAAUCUGUGGACAGCAUCAUUUAGGCAGGAGUGGAUAAAGAGCAGUGAAUUCCAGUAAAGAAAGCAGUCACACUUGCACUGUGCACAAACAAAAAGAAUGAAUAGAUUUUACAAAGAUACAGAAAAACAUUUGCACAUGUGCAGAAAAAUGCAUCAGUGUCUGUGUGCCUAUAGAAUGCAUACAGUGAUAUUAACAGGGCUGAAGUGACUUCUGCUCAUCUUUUAAUGAAAAAAAUAAUAAAUAAAGAGGAAGGUGGUCCUACAGUUUGGUUUCCCAAACUUUUCAGCCUUUUAGCCCCCAAAUUAAAGAUGUCAGUGACUCUGGACCCUGAAUGUCCCUUGAUGCACAGGCACUGACAGGCUGAUCCUAAAACAGACCUCCAACAACAAAUAAGAUCACAUCAACCAAACAAUCGUACCAUUACAGUUUAGUUUAGUUUAGUUUAAAUAGGAUCCCCAUUAACUGUUGCAUUACAGCCAUUCUUCCUGGUGUCGUAUCACAACCUUAUAGUAGUCAUAGCACAUUAUAACAAAUAAAAGCUUUAGGACAUGUCAAACAGCUGUACAUGUAUUUCUGUGCAUUCAUUAAAAAAGACUAUCAGAAGAUUACAAGUAGAUUUUAUAUGAAGACUGUAGCAGUAAUAACUAUUUAAAAUGUUCGCAUAAGUAAUGUUUUAUACUUGUCUAAGAUUUAAAUUUGCAUCAUGUUAUUUAUAUUUAAGCACUUUAUUUUGAUUAUAUUCUGUCAAACUUGAUGAAAUAUGCAUCUUAACACCCUCCAUCAGUGUCCUGCGGCCACGACCCUUCAAUUUGGGAGCCACUGAUCUAGACAAGCAUCAAAACAUCAUGUGUUCACACUCAUGUGCUGACCUGAUGCCCUUACUACAAUAAAAAUGACUUCUUUUUGCUCAGAGUACAACAACCCAGACAAAGAUGACAGACCACCACUGGCUGUAAACCCUUCCAGGAUAAUUCUGUUAUUUGUCAAAGCAGAUAUAUUUGUUGUCUACUGGUCACCGACAGUCUUACCCGUUAAUGGUACUGAUGUGCCUCUUCAGUCAAGUUCUAUUCGCAUUAUUUGGCAAAUUGACUCAUGAGCGCCGUUUGGUAACAGCAGAGUAAUGUGGCACAUUUUUCUUUCUUCCUCUCUCUCUCUCAUCACCCUCCAUUCUCUCUCACUCUGUUUCUCUGUGUCUCUGUUUCUCUGUGUCUGUCCCUUUUUAAGUCUCUCUCCUCCUUUUCCUGGCUGAGGCAUCGCAUCUCGAACUCGGACUGAUAAUUUAAAAUAAAGUAAUUCCCUUAAAUGUUUUUUAAAAGCUGCAGAAGGCGUGAUAUCUUCGCCAUUAUUGAUGACAUCAUUAUUAUGUAUAGGGUCUCUCAGUGAAUAAUAACCCAUGAUCUGUCAUUUUUCCUCUUAUUGGCGCUGCAAGUUGUAAAGGUUAGGUAAUUUAUUUUAAUGUUUAAUGUGUCAGCUGGUAUCGCCAUGCACUACUGUCCCAAUAUAUUCCACACUUAAAGGCAUUAUUGUUCCAUUUUACUCCGGCUCACAAUCCUGGAAAAGUACUUGUCAGGAAUAAUCCACAAAGUCUUAUUUAAUUGUCUAAAGGCCCAUUCUGUAGGUCAGAGUGAAAACCUAAAACCAGUCAUAGAUUACUGCGAUGUAAUCUCUUUUUUUUUAUAUAUAUAAAAUGACCAAAUCAGAAAAACCAAACCGAACCUCCACAUUUAAAAUCCCUCCUUUCCCUGAAACUCAUUUUAAAGUAAUAAUUUAUACGUAUUUUGCAGAAAUAAGCCCACAAAUGUGCUUUCCAGUGAAAUAAAUAUGCAAUCGUGUUGGAUAUAUUUUCUUUUAUUUAAGCUUUCUUUUAAUAAAAUGAUGAAAAAUAAGGGGACAGAUUCUGCUGCAACAGAAAAAGGGCCCCACAUACAAAGACAUUUCUGUACAGCAUAUUCCCCAAAGAUGAAUAGCUGUUUGGUGGUAUGGUCGUGCAGAACAAUGAGAAGGAUUUCGGGAAAAUGGGCUUUGGGGUGGCAUUGUACGCAUACAUUGUGCAGAGAGAGAGGGAGAGGGGGGAAUCAGCACGCUUGAGCGCAUUUAAAUUUACACAAACUCUCUAGGAAUGACAGUGAUAAAUGUUACACUCUAUUCUACAAUAUGUUUAAUGCAUAGGUCUGAGGAGUUAAGUUUUCCCCUCUGGUACGAGGCUGCUGUUGUAGUUACCACUAUAUGUUACAUCAGAUUCCCUUCCAUUAAAAUGCCAAGUGGCACAGUGAAGACAGCAGGAGAAUAUGACACUGAAUUUGUUUACCUGUCACCUUCCUCCAUCCUUCAUUUUUCCCUCCUCCUUUUUGUGUGCACAUUUCUAUGUGUGCAGCUCUUUGUGUGUGCAGGUGUGAAGGGGUCAGGCUUUACAUAUGUUCUCUUUUAAAUCAGAUCAGAAGAAACAGAAAUAAAACAAAAAAGGAGAAGCCAGGCCAUAAUUUCUGACGUGAUUCCUACAUCUUCUGGUGUAUGUUGCUUUGCUGACAAAACCUCAGAAAAAUGCAUUUCUGUGCUGUAUGGAUGGACUGUCAGGCCUCUCCGCGGGAAAAAAAAAAAAAUCUGUCCUUAUCACUGAAGAAAUUCAACUGUGACUGACCACAUCGCGGUGCAUUUCCUGUGCUCUGCCUAUGACUGUCACAAAACAAGCAGACCACUGCUGUCGACACACACCGAGAAAUCCUCGAGUUCUCUCCCUCUCUCUCACACACACACACACACAGACAUACACAGAGAGGCACUUGCGUGGAUUAGUGAGUGUAUGUUGGAAUCUCUGACCUGCGUUUGAUCUCCUGUAAGCGGGGUCUGCAUGAGUAGCUGAGUGUACUUCUAUACUGUACGUGCAGCACUGUAAGAGCUGAUAAGAUAGCAUGCAGGCUUGAUCUCUCUUAAGGAUAAGUGUUUUGGCUCACGGUGCACCUGGAAAGACACGGUAACACCUGAGUGGAGGUUUUUAAAGUGUACUGUAUAGCAGGGCAUCACAGUAUAUAGCAGUGAGGAUUAUACGCACACACACAUACACUCUUAAGAACUUUUUGCCUCCACAUUUCAGGCUCUGGAGAGAUUUCUCUCAAGAUGUGAGUCAGAAAGAUGCUGUUUUUUUCACAUCCUCUGCUUUGAAAAAGGCUGUGAUUAACUUAUUAUUCAUGAACUUGAUAAAUUGUAUGCACCAAAAAGGCAAAUUAUGUCAUCAAAAGCUAGCAAAACUAUAGAUUUAACAUCUUGCUUUUGAAACAGCUUUAUGUACGAAUACUUUUUGUGUUUUAAACGGUUUAAAUGGUGUUUUAAAUACAAUCUCCAUUAUUUUCCGUUCAAUAUUACUGAAGGGCCUUUAGGGCAAAAAAAAGACCCACACUCAGUUUUCUGACCAGAUCCUAAUGUAAGCAAAAAGUUGAAAAGAACCAGCAGGAGCAGCGGUAAAUGGACAUAGAGGUGAGGUUAAAAGUAAGCAACGCAACAAAGCUAAAACAUGAUUCAUUAUUUUCAUGUUUCACAUCAUUUUCAAUCGAACAAACUGAUUCACAUCCCUGCACAAACAUGCAUGAGGUGCAUGAUUUGGUUUGCUUGCUGCUCAAGUCCUGUCUUGUCUACUGUGUGUCUCUGCCCUGUGUCACUUUUACCACUCUACUAACUCAACUCAUUCACAGGUAGGCAAAUACUCACACUUAUAAGGUCCUUUUAGCAUCUAAUAAAGACACUGAAAUGCAUGUAAGCUCAUUGGUGACAGUCUGAGAGCAGAGGAGAGAGAGACAGCAAGGCCAUCAGGUCCCUUUAUGUUAAUUUAUCCCAACUUGCAGGACUUUAAACUGUGUGACAGAGAGCUCACUGCAGAUACACACACUGUUACGCUCUGGAUAUAAAUGAUAAUAUACAUUAUUUUGGUGAUUUUAUAUCUUUAGGAAAAAUUUCAUUCAUUUUCCCCAAAUUGCUGUUAUCAGUGUGUCAAAUGUCGGUCUGUGUUUAGUGGCUUUUUCUGUAUCAGCAAUGUUUGAUUGUUUGAUAUAGUAUUGUAGAAUUUAAAAGAUCACAGUGUUUUUACAGAUGACAUUGUGCCAUAAUUUUUGAGUUUGGGCAGUGCAUUUGAGUUUUUGUUUUUACAACUUUGUGUAAUUUUUCCAACAUCAUAAAGGUCACAUUCGUGUGCUGGAUGGUAAGAUAAAAUACCCCACUGAGGAGCCUCCAUACAUCUCUUUGCAAAGACAGUCGUCAGAUAUCAAAGUUCUCCCAGAAUAACAAAAAAUUAUUAGAAAACUAAACAAAUGAAAAGAAAAAAGGCACACAGAACUACAACCGAGAACUCUUAAAUCUCAGUUAAGAUACAAUAAAAAAUGUCAUAACUGACUAUUCUGACUAUUGGGGCUUAACUCAAGAUAACCUUUUAAAGGAAACUCUGGACCAAAGCGUUAAGACAUUCAUUUUCAUCCAAAAAAAGCAGCAACUAUAAUCCUUAUUUUCCAAUCAUUUGAGCUUGUUCUCAUGCAUUUCCUCAUCUCAUCUAAACAAAACCAUAUUACCAAAGAACAAGUGCAGGAGUGGCUGGUUCAAGCUGCACACAGCCAUUAUAUUCCUUAGUUUUAUGACCCGUACAAUCGCCCGGGCCAAGCACAGCUCCUUGUGUACUGAAGUAGGCCCACUGUAAAGCCUGUAAUAUGUAAACAAACAAGCACAAACUUUCUCUGAUUUACAACACUAUUGCAGGUCUUGGCCGGGGAUCCUUCACCACCUCCAACAGGCCUGAGCCAGCCGGCAAUUCCAGUCGCAGACAGCUUGAGCACUUUCGAUUUUAUACCUCAGCAAUUUUUAUAGCGUCUUUAGCUCUGCACGCAUAGAGCCCACUGCAUCCCUUGGAAAGAGAGAGGCUACAAGCAGAGGGGAAGAGGCAAAUAACAAUAAUGCACACACACACACACACUCACAGAAAAAAGAAAACAGGUGUUGAUGAAGGAUGCUAAGUAGCAAGGUCAUGUGACUUUGGUAGUGGGAUUGGACCCUGAUGCAGACUGUGGUAGCGUCCUGGCUUGUGAUUGAAUUGGCUGAUGGUACAGCACUGUCUCAGUGCCUCCCACCCAGAUUAAGUAAGGUAGAGUAGCCAAGCCUCUGAGGGUUUUAGCAUCUGUGCAAGGUUGCUGUAACUGAUACUGUGAAGUUAUAAUUAAAGGUUCCAACUGAGAGAGCCCCGCUUGAUGCAGUUCACACCUUUCCCUUCUCCUGCAGGAUAACUAGAGAAGUAAUGUGGCAGGGCGGCAGCCAAAAACUGCAUUUUAAGUACUGUCUAAGAGGCUUUUUUUUUUUUUGUAACUGUGCAGAUGUGAGCACAGAGCUGGGAGAAAUAUGUGGAGCUAGAACAGGCUAAUAUCCAGAUACUGCUUCUAUUCUUGCACUAAUGUUACUCUAUAUUUUGUUUGCUGUUUAUUACUUGUCAUCUCUGUAAGAUAUCUCUCUGCAUGACUGUAAAAACCACAGUAAAACCACACAAUGAAUCAGCGCUACUUACUCUAUAAUUGCAUUUCAAAUUAAUAUUAUUCUUUAUUCUCUUAUUCCAGACUGGGAGUACUGACAUGCAACUCUGAGUCCAUAUUUCAUCACCUUGCGAACAAGGUUAGUGCUUUUCGAUUGCCACACUGUCUCCCAUUUUUCAUUUACCUGGCAGAAAAUCAGAUGCGACAGUUAAAUUUUGACAGUAGAGAAAAUCUACUCUCUGCCAUUAGAGCUAAUGUCAUGUUUCUGCGCUAAUCCCUCAUCAUUUUUGGGCCUCAUUGCCUAUUUUUCUCUAUGAUAUUAAGUAUUCAAAGCUCAUUUACAUUCUUAUUUUUCAAUUUGCUGCUGCAGUAGUUUAAUUUAUUCCAUAUAAUUUCUUUUUCUGAGAGGGACAUUAAUCAUUGACUGUACGUUUUAGUGCCUCUGGGAUUUUUUUAAUCAAUAAAAUAAAAGGGAUAAAAGCCUCAGCGCUGGGAUAGCUUACAAAGGCAGUGUGGAGGGUUUGUCCCCGUCACUUUUUUUCUGCUUUUCCAGAUCUUUAUGUUUGUUCAAAUUCAAUUAUCACUCUUAAAGCACCUUAUUAUUCUGUCUUAUUGAUAAGUGUGUCCAACUGUAUCAACCUUUUUUCCUUUUUUUUAUAUACUUAAACAUUUGCGGCACCUGCAGAACUUUCCAAAAAGUCAUUUCUAUUAGUCUUAUUUGGAUUUUUUUAAGGGAAAGCGGUGACAAAAGCAUGUCUCAGAAAUAACACUCAUAUCAAUAAGGGCCUCCCUGUAAUGCUGCUGGUAGUUCUAUAUUUCUGGUCUGUUAAGCUGGAGGCCUAACCACUUUCAUCCUCUUUCUUCCACCCUUUUCUUGUUGUUUCUUCAUCCUUUCACAUUCAUUUUAUGCUUGGCUAUUCCGUAGGCUAUCAGUGUAUUAAUGCCCGGGCUUAAGCCAAACAGCCUCUGGGAGAUAAGCCUCCGGGUCGUCAUGUGGCUGUUCACAGUUCAUACCCUGCUUUCCCCCCUUUUUAGUUGGAAACCCCAAAUCAUUUAACAAUAUUAAUCUGUUUUUCACUUUCUCUCUCUCUCCCUCUCUCUCUCUCUUUCUUCAGAAGCAUUUUUGUGCUUCUGAAUUUCUUCCAAAUUUCUUUUCUUGUGUCUAAAGCAGACGCACCGCACGUCUUCAUUAGUUAUUGACUUGUUUGAGAGGCCUGACCUUCUGAAGGUGUGAGUGAAGGUGUGUGUGUGGGGGGGGUCCGAUCGCUAGUUGAUGAAGGGGUCUGCAGAGCUGGAGGGAUGGGGGGGGUCUGUAAACUCUGAUACAUAAUGCUGUGGGCUAUAAUACUUUGUGCAUGGCUGCUCGCAGGCCUGCUAAUCACAAGGAAAAGACCCCACUGUCUCACUCCAUAAACCUGGCCCCAGUAAGAAGACAGCCAUGGGGGCACAAUGUCACUUGUAAAUCCCAAAUUAAACUCAACUGCCCAGAGCUCCCCAGCGUAAAAAACACCCUAACACCAACCUGCCUCCGCGUGUCUUCCUCUCUGUGGGGGGAAAAAAAAGCGGACAGAGCGCUGAUAGGUGUCCGGGUGUCAACAGUGUCAAGGUUGUGGAGUGGUCAAUUUGUCCGCUUCUUGGCCACGUUCGGCUUUAUGCAUGUAUUUCAUGCCACAAAGCCUCUACGGCAACCGGGCCUUCACUCCACUGCUCGCCCCUCCACCUUCAAACCCCUCAGUCGUGUCCAGUCACAGAGAGCUUUCUGGAAGUUUAAGAAAAUAUAUAAUAAAAAAAAAGGGUCUCCAUUUCCUCCAAUUAAUUCUUGUCACUGUUUCAUAGAAGGCAAAAGAAAUUUCUUGAUAUGCAUAAUGGCUAGUUUGAGCUUGCUAUAGGGGAGGCGAAAUGGUCUCCUUGAAGGCAAUCUGUUCAUUAAGAUAAUGUGUUAGUUCCAAUUAAACUAACAUUAAAACAGUCCCCAUAAAGAGUUGGAGUCAGCGUUUUUCCUAACUUGCUCUUUUAAUUACAUCGUUCCUCUCCUGUCAUUAAGGAUAUUAAAAAUUCAUUAACAAGAAUAGUACUGCGUCACAGCAACAAAUCAGAGAGAAUUUCAUCUCAUGUUGUCACAAGAUUAUUGCCAUUAGUGAUUUCAUCUGAAAGGCGUAAAGUUUCCCGUAAGCGAUGUUUCAAGACCUGAGUGUCAACAGGUUACUGCGGCGGUGAACUGUCAGGUUGUUAAAGCCCCACAUCUAUUUGCAAGGUGUUUUAAUAUGAGAUUUAAUGGAAAAAGAGGGAGACAUUUAAAUGAUGAAUUAGUUUUGGCAACAUAGGGCUUUAUGUGUUGUAUUUAUCCAUUUAUUAAAUGUACAUUUAUUUGCAGCGGCAUCUAGCGUCCCCGCUAAUGUGAUUCCAUUGCCGGCUGUUAUGUUUUCCGUCAGUUAUAUUUCUCGCUCCUAAUUUGUUUUCAUCAAAUGUGUUUAUGGCUAGCUGAAACUGUUUUACAGCUUCACUAUCGAACCGUGCCGCUGCUGCUGCAGGAAAUGAGUCUGUCCAUGAAUAACAUGAGCUCUGCCAGUGUGAUCCCUGCCAGAGAAAAGAAAGACAGAAAACCACAUCUGCAUCUCUUUUAUAUCAUAAAUACAGGUUUAUCCUUAUGCUGCUUCACAGUUUCCAACAUAUACUCUCUGCUAUAAUAAACACACAUGCCUGUUCAAGGCAAACCCACCUCAUGAUGAAGAUCACAGAUAGAACAAAAGCUCGCACACACUCGUGGGGAUUAUGGCAGGUGUUUAUGUGGAAAUAAUUAUAAUUUUGGCAUGAAAAUAAAGAAUAAUUAAAUGAAUAAAUGUAAAACAACAGCUUUGAAAUGUUGAGUUGGCACAAAGAUGCUUUUUGCGAACCAAAUAUUUCCCUUGUGGUGUCUGUGAUCACCUUCAUGCAAAUCUUAGUCAGUAUUAAGAAAAUGAAGCAGAACUGCAAAGAGCAUGAUGGGCAAACUGUGUAACUGAUGUGAAUAUUUCACAUCAUGAUGUGAACUGGAUGUCAAACAUUGAUUCAAACAGCAGGAGACAGACUUUCACUUUUCAUUGCAAUAAUGUUGUCAUGUUUUUCUAGUGUGAAGGUUAAUGGUCAGAGGAGUCUCAUUGGGAAACAUAAAGGAGGAUCCUCUCCAGCCUACGUAGUUUGUGGUCAUGAAGCUUGAAAAAUAGUACGAGGCUGUUUAGGCUCUCAACAUGUUUUGACUAAAGUGAAUGAAUGGGGAAAUUUUAGGAUUCAUUUCAAGCCUAUUCAUUGAAAUUUUUUAACUGAAUGUAGCUUUUUUUAUUUGGGUUAACGUUUUUGGUUCAGACAUUCUUUCAUUUUUAGGUUCAUCAUUUUUGAUGUAUGGUCUUUUCAGAACUGAAGUUUUGAAUCUGUGUGUUUAAGCACUUUUACCCAAUAAGAGAGGUCUUGUUUCUCUUUCUACUAAUUAACUGGUUUUGUUUGAUACGUGACUCUGAUUGGCUAAAACCUCUGUCAACAGUUAUUACUGAUCUAGCAAGAGAAUAACAAAAACAACUGAAGGGACACCCAUCAGUGUAUGAUUUCCCCUCUUCCUCUUGAUUGUAUGUUUAAAAAACGUCAGCAUUGAUAAGUGACACUUACGAUAUUCUGAACCCACUGGAGUCGAUUGAUGCUCCUGAGCGUCAAAAUUACGUGACAUAUUUAACGGGUUGUAGCUGCAAGAUGCAGCCUCACUGAGUCUCCGUUUCAACUUGUCUCAAAGUGAGGACCUCAAACUAUAUACCAGUUUUUAAAUUGUGUUGAUAGACCAAAUAAAAUCAGAGUCAUGAUAAAUUAUGUUUGCCAUACUUUGUCCUGAUUAUUUUCAUCAUGUUAGGUGCAUUUUAAUGUAAAUAUUUGCAGUCUAAGUUAUGAAACGGUUCGUUACACAUAUUUGUGGUUUUCACAGUAAAACAUGUUACUUUUUUGUUAUGAAUUAUGUUACGAUUUUGCGUUUUUUUGUGUGAAUUUAGGUCCUCUGUGUUAAUACAGUAUGUCAAAAUGUUAAAAUAACUAUAAAUUUGAACAGGUGAGGUUGUGCUGAAAAAAAAUGACACCAAGCAAGGCGAGGUAAACAGUUUUUGAGGGAAGAUAUAAAGGUAAAAUCAAAAGUUGUUUGAAACGGCCAAUUAUACCCUAGACUCCAGAGGGUCGAGUUGAUGACUGAUUAGUGAGUGGGUAGUAAUGUGAAAUAGAAUCCUGACGUCCUGAAACAGUACCUCAAUGCAAAGUGGUGGGCUGUUGUAAAGAAUUACACAUUUCUCCUGUCUCUUUAGUUUAUUCAGGAAAUACUAGUCCAGAUUUUUAUUACGCUUAAUCAAAUGGCUCAAUAAGAGUAAAAUAUAUCUUCUCCAGACAGGAAAGUGAUCCAUCUCAUAAAUAAGCCACAAUGCCAAUCAAAUCAAUUCUGAUUCUUUAGUUAAGAUCUCCUGGCAGACAGUAGCUGUAGCUGCAGAUUUGCGAGCAGACUUGACUGUAGUCUAAGUUCUUUUGUAUUUUUUUCAAUUACUUCAGAAUUCAAUCCAUGAUCUUGACCAGUCAUCUUAAACUACCCGACGUACAAACAGAUAAAAAAUAUUCGACUCUAAGUUAAGGUUUUCAGUUUCAGCCGCUGACAAGGACAACACAUUUAGGCUAAUAACUUCCUUACAGACACCGUGACCAGACCCUGAACCCUUUUCCCCAUGCACACCUUCAGUGAAAGCUGAGAAAAAGAAGCCCAUAACGUCACCACAUGAUUAAUAUUCCAUUAGGAGCUGUUGUGAAUCCUAUCUCGGUGCAGCCACCAUUGUAUCAUAGAGCACUGAAAUAUUCAUAUCCUCCUAAUUAAUUGGCAUCAGAGGGGUGCCUUAGCUUGUUUUGUUUCUCAAGUCGUACAACAGGAAAGUAAGCCAGAGAUUAGACUGAAAUAUCACCGCAGGAGGCAAGUGAUGGGAUUAGUGUAUGAAGUUAUGGACUUCAAGAAACAUUAUCCUUUUCUAUUAUCUGUCAGAAAAUAGAGAUAAAAGACGCAUCCAUGUAUAAAAUCCUUUGUUCGUGGAUGCUGGCCAGGUUAACAUGUCUCCCCUAACCCAAAAACAUAAUCACAAUCACAUCACAGCACAUCCCCUCCCACAAAUGCAGUUAUUGAAUUGCAUUACUCUGCCCUGUGGGGCUCCUAUUACUCACUCUGGCUAAUCUGUAAAGACUGGCUAUCAUUAACCAGGCAAGCCAAAAUGGACUCUUCAUUGUUUAUACUUGGAAUUAAAAAUCAACAACAGAAAAUACUUGUUUUUUUAAUCCUUAAUUCUCUCCAGUUUCACUUAAGCUAUAAUUCCAUGUCUGGAUCUAGCUCACCUCCUUACCCCGAGAACAAAAUGUUAUUGAUCAGACCUGUAUGCAUUUAGGCGUGUGUGUGUGUGUGUGUUUGAGAGUGUGUGUGUGUGUGUUUUGUGCUUUGAGUCUUGGACAGACAGCUCUUAUAAGCCUCUGUUUUUACAUACCGACCCUGCUCUUAUUGGCUUCGGUCUGGGGACCCAUAUCCCAGCUGUGUUGGAGAUCCAUCAAGCCUGACAGGUCUAUUGUACUGGGCUCUGACCAACAGCUCGCACUAAGAUAUCACUUUCAAUUAGAAAAACAUUCAUGAACGGUGAAUGGAGGUAGAUUUAAAAUGUCUGCUGCGACUGGAAAGAUGCACAUCAGGCUAAUUUAUGAUUUUGGAAUAAACGCCCAAUUAUCAAAGUAAAACUAGGUUGACAAAGUUCUCUCUGAACAGUCAAUUGUUUACAGCUGAACUACGUUUGUUUUGGAAAAAUUGAGUUUUUUCUUUUGCUGUUUGCAAAAAAUUUGCCAAAUCAGCUUAUUUGUGGACCAGGCCAAGGAGUUUAUCAGCAUUAUGUGAGAGCAGUCAUAAACAAUGGUCUAUUACGAAAUAGGAAAGUUACUUUAACACAGCUACCCUCUACAGCAUUAGUUUGGAUUCUUUUGUCUCAAAAAGCUUUCAUAAUUUUUGUUAUUCAAGGUUUCUUUCUGAGUAAGUCAUUUCAUGUUACCUGUCAGGAUUGUAUAAGGCCAAAGCAUGUCCCAGCAGGUGUUGGGCAAGAGGAAGAGGGGCACAAUGGACAAGUCGGUUGCAUUAUAACUCUUAUAUUGCGUUACAAUCACUUUUAACAUCAAAUAAAUAUUCUGCUAUUUCUUCAAUUUGUUUUAGAAAUAUUUCAGAAAAUCAAACCCAUUAAGACAUUUAUGAAAGGAGAAUAGAGCUGCCAUUAUCCUCAGUCUUAGGGGGUUUAAAAAGUGAAAGAUUAUUUUUGACUCUUUUGUUAAAUCGAGGAAAAGUUUUGAUAGAGGCCACCACUUUAUGUUAGAUCGAGACACUAAGAGAGACUCUUCUCUUUCUCCUGAGAGAUGAAGGACAAAAGUCUUAAAAUCCUCCCCUGAAAAUAAUUGAAUAACUUCCUAAGCACUUUUAACUUCAGUGUCCAUGAAUCAAAGAGACAAGCCCUGUCCAAAACUAAACAAAUAAACAGGCUCUUGAUGGUCCUUGGAGGCCCGGGGAUUCAGAAUUCCAGAAAUGAAUGGGUAUUUGAAUGAUUGCUGCUGUGACAGGCUUGCUGUGAUAGAAUAACACAUUCUGUUGAACAAAUAGGCCCUUGAGUGCCGGCUGGUCCCAGGGGUCUGUCUACAGCCCCGAGGCUAAGGCUUUCAUAGAGAUGGGCUGCUCUCAGCAUGGCUGUAGCCUGACAAACACUGACUGUUUCUGUAAUGCUCCCUAUGUGACGGCAGCCAUAUUAUUAACAUACUUCACUGUACUGCAGACGUGAGGAGGCAUGCAUGUUGGUGUGUACAUGCUGACUAAGUAAAUCCAGCACACUGAGUCAAAGUCAAUAAAUUAAUGUAAUUAUUCUCUUCUCUCCAAAAGGUACAUCAACGUAGGUCUUAUGUAACCCUCCACCUUCGCUGCAGUUUUCAUGCUAAAUUACAACUUCACAGGAGAAUAACUGUCUUUCAGAUCCAAACUCAUGUGGUUUACCUUUUUUUGCAGCAGCAUGUUAGAAAACGCUCCAGCAGGGGGUCAAAGCUGGCGCUCAGCGUUGUUCACUGGUGCCUUACGAGACAUGUUGCUGCUGUUGUAAUGGCACGAAUCCUACACUGCAGCGCGGCAGCCCCACACAGCACGCUCUUUGAUGAUGUCACAGGGUUAGAUAGGCGCCAUUGUCGAUAUGGGCUUCCAGAGAGCUGCUACACACUGCUCUAGCAUCUGUUGAAAAAGAAAACACCCUCCCAAGUCCCUUUGACACAGCUUUUUUUUUUUCCUUUCUGUCUUUCUUUUUUUUUUUUUUUUUGUAAAGGAGAGCUGGACAAAAGCCACAGUUUCUUCUGUGAUAUCCUGUUAAGGCUGUUCUGGAGCCAGCCAAGCAUGGCCCUUCCUUCACAGAGCUGGGGCAACAUCAUUCAGCUUCCUCCGUGUGAUCCAAGGCACACAACAAACCCUGUGGUCCACAGCUCAGUGGACAAGGAAAAAGACUCGCACACAAUGUCCUUUAGCCGUACGCACAUUCAGAGGCAUGCACAUUAUGCUUCGCCCACGUUAGGCCACGUACCGCACAAAUGAGGCACAUGCAUGCACACAAAAAAGCUUCCAGUCCUUUAAGUGCCCUAUAGUAUGAACACUGACGUUAUUUCCUGUUUUGUCUUGUCUUAUCAAAGAAGUUAUCAUCCAUACUUAGAGAUGACUUAUGUUAACCUAACUCUAUUCCUCAUAAGUUAGCCCUGUAACAACCGAAAAGCCCUCUCAGUGUGUUCUUGAAUGGUCCUCACGCUCAGUAACAAUAGCAAACAAAGGUCUUUGUGCGGCAUGCUAAGAGGGAACAUACAUGUUGCCCCUCCAAUAGACCCUCUGUUUCCACUGGGCUCAAUUACACCACUGCUAACUCUGUAUAAUUAACACCCCCAACAGAGUAAUCAAACAGCAUCUAAAUUAUCGCCAUGGCAAUGUGUAAAGGAAGGGGUUUGAGUGGUGGGGGUGGACCAAAUACAGAAAGCAUAUCUCAGGGGCGAACAUGAUAGAAUUACAAAAUGAGCAGCUUGCAAACUGUCUCAGCUUUGAUGAAGAAACGUUUAAUUAUCCCCCUGGUGGAAAAGGUCCCCCAUUGUCUAAAGCUAAUUUGUCCCUUUUGGCUACUUCCCUGCCCCAGAGGCCUGUCUGUCUCAGGUUACCCACCCCCUUCGUCCUCCUCCUUACCAGCCCACUGCCACCCUAGGUAUCAGCAUCUCCCAGCUCCAAAGACACCCAUGAGUUAGGCCCAGACAGUAUUUUGUUUGUUAAGUGUAGCCCCAAAGAUCUGGGCCCUCGGGAAAAGAUGAAAGGACGAGUGCCGCCUCCUUCUCAAGGAAGGGAUCAAGCAGGUCAAUUUCCUCUGACUUUGUCCUGUCUUGGAGUUUGUAUUCCCUCAGUCCACAAAGGCCACCAUUGGACUGGACCGGAGGCUCACCCUCACUCAGCUGCCCUGUCUCUGCCCCCAUUUGAUUCACAGAAUAAUAGAUGGCAAUGCAUGCCUCCUAAGCACAACUCCUUUUUAAAAAGUGAAACAAGAGAUAACACUCCCCAGAGAAGAAGAGACAUCCAAAUAGAAAUAGAUACUUUAUAACUCAACCCAAAGGACACUGUGAAAACAAGAAUAUUGACAAAGAUAUCUUUGGGUUUUUUUGUGGAAAAUAUUGUUUUAAAAUCCCCAGUUCUGUCCCUUAUUCUUAUUUAGCCCCGAACAGUUUCUCAUGGUUUACAGAUAAUAAAAUUAAAUACAUCACAUUAGACCUGACACUGGAUCCAGUUCACAUUUAAAUGCAAUUUAAAAGGGGCAUACAUUUGCAUAGUGAAUUAAAAUUAAGGCCUAAUUAUGCAAAUAAAUUAUCAAAUGCGACAGGGGAUGGUUUUCAAUUCAGUUAAUAUCUCAUUUUGUGAGACAAUAGUUACUUGAUAGUCUAAACAGCAUUGCACCCAUUUUGCUGCAGAGCCAAUUCGAUGGCGUUAAAUAUUCAGGUGGUAUUUAAUUACAAAAAAUAAUAUGAGCUCAUAAAUUACAAGCAUUGCUUUUUAAAUACACUUAGACAAAUCUCCCCUCCCUGGGGAUUAGAGUGUUUCAUACAAAACCCAACAUUUAUCUCACAUGAAGCCUUUUGAAACAAAUAACUGAGACAGAAAAGUAUGUAUGCAAGUUAUCAAACAAUACUUUGCAUUACAUUGAAACAUUACCACAAGGCUCAACAUUUAAUUGGCUCAUAGUUGUCAGUAACUUUAAAAAUAAAUCUGAUGUAUUUAUGUUUUUUACAUCAGAAUGAGUUAUGGAGAGAAACUGUUGUAAUGAUUUUCCCUUCAUUCAUAUCAAGUUCAGGCUCUCUUAUCUGGGCUGAUCCCUGACCUUACUGUCUGUAACACUAGGUCUGAUAAUGUGGAUUUAUAAGUUCAAUUUUUUUAGCUCCUGUGUCAAAUGAUAUUCAUCAGAAGAGCUGUACUCCUUAUUUUCUGCCAUAAACUAACAUUACAAUUCCUGCAAAUGUUGAUUAAAGGGAUAAUUUGGUAUUUAUUAAAGUGGGGUCGUUUGAGUUACAUUUCUCUUGUAAGUCUAGUGGCCACAGGUGAAUGACACACAAGCUAGGCUAUAGCUUUCUUUGAAUUUGGUCAAGUCUGCCAUGUAAUUUAGCUAAUUUUAGCAGACCCUGACGUGAGCUCUCAUCGCAGUGUAAGUGUAUACUACUGAAGAAAUUUCCAGCACUGUACCAUCAGAAAACCCAUUUGUUUUGGUACCAUUUGUUGACAUAGCACCUGCACACACUCUUUCGUCUGCAGCACACUGAUCAGCUGUUUGGGUCAAAAACACUCUCAAACUAGAUUAUACGUGCAAGAGUUCAAAAAAAUCCUUCGUGGACUAUGUUGUUUGGAAAUUGACUUUCACAUUAAUAGAUUUGUAAUCAUAGCCAUCUUAAAUGACCUUAUGAAUAACAAAGAUGUAUCUUUUCGGUAGAUGUUUUUAAAUUCCCAUCAGUUCGUGAUUUAGCUCAAAAAGAAAUCCCAGAACAACUAUAAAAAGAUAGUAAGAAGAAAGUGAAAGUUUUUCCAUCAACUUAUCACUAACAGCACUGGAAAUGUAAAGCAGAGGGUCAGUGAACUGCAGAACUUCAACUUGAUUCACUACUUGAGGGCACUUACAGUCGCUUAAAGAAUAAUUCACAUGUGAAUUUGUGGCUUUUUCUGACACGUGUAAAAUAGUUAAUUUUACUCACUGUCCUCAUCAUCCCCAGGAUUAUUAGGCUGUUUGCAAGAGUCUGGUGUAAUGAAAAAUCUGCUUUGCAUUUGCUUUUUUUUUUUUUCUGAAUGCACCUCACACUCUGCCAACUCAUUUGUUCUCUUUCAAAAACCAAUUCUCUUUAUCAGACCUAAUCAGGUUCCUCAACUAUGACUGAUCCACAUAUCAGGUAUAAACUAAUGCAGAGAAAAACCCUAACGCACUCCUCAUUUAGAAAAACAUUAAAGAAUAUAGUGUUAUUUUUAAUGUUAAAUUACAAUUUAUCACAAAAACUGAGUUUUUUGCCAUCAAAUGUUUUUCAUUUGCACCUCCCCUUCAGUCUAGCAUAAUGAAAAUAAUUACUGUCAUAUCUCAAAUUUAUAUGGAAACUUUUUGUGCAAUAAAAGACUUUUUGGAAAAGUGUGGCUUUAAGGAACCAAUGUUUAUUACCUGGUUUUCUUACCAAUCACCUAUUGCAGUGAUAGAUACAUGAUUCUGAUUGGUCAAAACAACAGUUGUUAACUCUGAAUGGCAGGCUUCACUCAGGAAAACCUUAUCACAUGGCUCACAAAAAAUCACCAACCAAAACUGAAGGAAACAAAUGCAAAGCAAUGGCAGGGUUUUGGUUUUUAUAGUGUUAAAGAGCUGGUUAAGCUAGACAAAACUUUGGUGUUAAACUGUUCGUACUUUUAGUCAGAAGUGGGAUAAUGUAAAGUUACCAAUCUUGAUCCUGUCAGAGUGAGGUAUACAUUUGACCAGCUCACCCUCACUCAGUUAUUUGUCAGACUUUGUAAGUUAUAUAAUUUGGAUGAAUUUCAUCUCCUGAGUCACAGUGUCAAAAAUUCUGACCCUGCCAUAAUUCUGUGUAAAGAGUCUUGUAUAGUGAUGAAUUUUAACUCUUUUAUAUCUAAUCCUCUGAGUUCAGCAUCCAGUCCUGGCCAUUAUCCAUUGCCUUGCCAUUUGCCAUUUGCUACUCUCAGACGAUGGCCGCUGUCAUUCCCUGAGCCAUGCGACCGCCAUGUCAUUGUCAUUGCAUUGCUUCACUGCUCAUGUAAUGGCCUGGCUUUUAUCAACCAUGAUACUUACGUGAAAAAAAAAAAAAACCUUUAGAUAAAAUCCCAGCCUGCCUCCUGGUUCUGUUGCUGAACAUCAGGAGAAAACAUCUCCUAAUAUCGAGAGGGCAGGUUGUUUUGGUGAGAUGGAGCCCAGGUGGGGGAUGGGGGUAGGAUUAGCAGGCACACUUUGUAGCAGCGGUUCUCAACUGGUGGGUCCCGACCCAAAAGUGGGUCGCGGACACGUUCUGGAUGGGUCACAGACAGCUGGUCAAAAAAGUAAAUAUUUAAUGCGAUAUUUAGUAGAUAUUUGAUAUUUUCUGUAUAUGCAACUUUAGUAGUUGUCGUCCUCAUGUUGUCCCCUUCAUGUGCUCUGAAAUGCACUUUACUCAAUAAAACAAGAGGAUUUAUGUUAAAGAUUAGAGUCUUUAAAGGUUUUUUUUUAAUAAAAAUAUAAAUUUGCUUGGUUUGAAUUCCAUAAAAGUGGGUCCCGACUUAAGGACCAUGGGAAAAUGUGGGUCCCAAAGUGAGACCAGUUGAGAACCACUGCUUUAUAGGACAUCCUUUUUUCACCGACAAAAUCAAUCUUUUGACUUUAAAUGUUGACAAGAUAAGUUUAAAAAUGAUCAUAAUUUUCUGUUGAAGAGAUGCAGGUUAGUUUGGUCCUUUUUGACUGUCAAAUAAAGCAUUGUUUGAGUUAUUUAGAGCUGGCUAAAAUAUGUGAUGAAGCAGACUCAGUGUGUAGCAGCUGGUAGCUACUUUUGUUCUGGUUCUCAGACCUGUUUCGCAACAAAGAGACUAAGCAGAUUGGUUACCCCUGCAGGUAAUUCACUAAUUAUUGGCAAUUGUUGACAUUAUUUUCCUGUUCACCAGUCUUUAAAGAAGGGUGUGCCCCAUUUAUUGCUCUGUUUGUUUUAUUCAUGCACCUUCCUCAGCUUUUGUAUAUUCUGAUUGAGAUUUUGCAUCUUUUUUUUCACUUGUGUUGCUUUCCUGCAUUGAUUUAAAGCUUAACCAAAUAGCAUUUGAAUAAAAAAAAAAACAUACUGAUGACUUUUGUAGUCUAAACAAAGGUCAGAAAUAAUCCUCAGCACCUAUAAGAGAAAAACUGAAACCUGUCCACCUGUGAAUUUUUGAUUCAUAUUUUUCAAAUAUGCAAAGCUGACAGCUCAGCAGGUACAGAGAUACACCUCUGCAGGUUGUCUUAAACAUUUCAAGCAUCAGAAUUUAUACAGCCAAGCAGAGUAUGGGAGGGGGGGAACAGGUGGAAGGUAAUGACGAGUAUCGUGGGGUAAUUGAUGACCCUUCCUCAGCAUUGGUGAUAUUGUUCUGAGGCUUAAUCUUUGUCAUCGGGGGUAGAAAAAGAGAGAGCGAGAGAGAGAGAGAGAGAGAGUGAGAGAUUAUGUGUUGGAGGUGGAGGGUGGAGAGCUAGAGGCUUACUGUGUCAACUUUCUCUCCCUCUCUCUCCUGUGGGUCAAGUAAACAGCCUUGGCGGGGACAGCUCAGGGGCUGGUGUCUGACCAGCCAGGCUGAAAAUGGCCCUUGUCCAUUCCUGCCAUGUAGCAUUUCUCUCCCCAGCUGUUUGUCCUUUGUCAUGGACACAGCUUGUAAUAAGAAGAGCCAACAUAUUUAUGGAGUGGCCGACCUCGCCGGUACACAGGUCUUUUAUCUGCCGGGCACAAAACAGCUUUGUUACUCUUUAACAAUUCACAAACCGGCACAGUGGUGGAGAGUGUCAUGGGGAGUGUUAGGUAGUGUGCUAAUACUGCAGGCCGGUUUAUGUGUGUGUGCGAUUGUUCAGAAGCAGUGAAAUACAAGUAAUAGAUACGUUUUUCCGUUAGAUCACACUGUUGUAUUUUUCUCUUCAAACCCUGACUCGCCUCUGACCUCGGGGCCAAUUAGGGUGUUCAUGGCGAGUGAUUUGUUUUGCUGUGUGUGGUGGCCGUCCACUCAGCGAAAGUUUAUGAGUGAUUAGUUAAGCUUGGCCUGAGCUCUAUGAAGAAUCAGCGUGGAGUGACAAAGCAACAUUCAGAUGGUUCUGGUAAAGGGAGUCCAGGGUAGGCUUAGGAGUGAACUUUGGAGGCGAAAGAAAUGGACGAUGAAACAAACAAAGGGGUCCUUUGACAGGUCUUGUGUGUGUGCUUGGGGGAGUGUGGGUGUUUUUAAGAGGCAGGCAGGGGAAUCCCAUUUUACUAAGUCAGCGGUAGGUUAACAAGUUACAUUAGGAGAGCAAACAGUAAGAAAAGAUGUAUUUAGAUCCUUUCUUCAAGCACAAGAGGGAACAUAUUUUAAGUAGGGGUGUGUAACAUUAACUAAAAGCAAUAUUUAGAUAUAUAUGAAGGGAUUCUCUGAUAAGAAUAAUCUACAAUUUAAAGUGUGUUAAAAAUAUAUGCUGUAUGACAGUGGAGCGACUGAUUUUUGUUUGCAGCGUCUUGCUCUUGUAUUGCAACUUGCAGACGGUCCCUGCUCACUCGCCUGGAUACCGGCUGUUGUAAUAAGCCAGGUUUUGAUUCUUGUUGCCAGUAGUCUGUGCUACUAUGACGUGAAAGAGGCAUCAUUUGUGUUUGAACAACGUUUCGUCUCAGAGUUAUUGAUCCUGAAAGUCUAAAUCUGUGAAUAUCUUUCCAACUUUACCGAACUCUGUAAAUGUAAACUUGAUUUGUCCCUUAGAUCGACACCUGCAUUGACCUAAGUGCACAGGGACAGUGGACUAUGUGAAGCCAGACAUGUUAGUGUUGGUAAUGCUGAAUGGAUGAGGAUAGGUUUAGUGUCCUGGAUAGAUGGACGGCUGAGGCAUGAGGGUCCAGAGCUGCAAGAAUCAAACAAACUUCCUCUAAAUCCCCCUGGCAGAUCCCGCUACUUAAGUUGAAUUAGCUCUUUGCCAUAUGAUAUUAUCUUGUGGCCACGAUAUACUAACUGGUGGCCACGCAUUAAUUUUUUUUUCUCCAAUGUCACCAGAGGGGCUCCGUACACAUAAGCUCAGCUGGGUAAUUUUAGGAAAUUUUCUGGAGCUUUGUGCAUAUCUGAAAGAGGUUUUAAUAACAGUUCUUUCUGAAAGGCAGAGAUCUUCAGCAGGAUCAGACUCACGUUAAACAGCCAUCUGCCUUGGCUGUGUUGGGCUGAGGAGAUGGGAUAGAGCGAGACGCAAAAAGAGAGAGGUUCAAUCGGGACGAACAAACAGAGCAAUAAUGACAAAAACAGCAAGAGAUGAAAAACAGUCAACAGUCAAAUGGACAUUAUAUGGACAUUGAGAGCUAAAAUGCCAUUAAAACCUUGGACAAGUAGGACUGAUCGUGUGAACUAAAGCAGUAAGAGUCAAGUAGAUCUGAGAUUAUUUUUAUUGUUAUAAAAAAGGAGAUUAAAUGUAAGUCUCAGAGUCUGCUUAGAAACGUCAAACUACUGACUAAAUCUACAAAAUUUAGCUGCUAAUCCAUCAAGGUAAUUUCUCUUCUUUCACAAAUCAUAUUAAAGAUUUUAUGCUUUUUUUCUGUAAUAUCUAAUUUAACAUUUAAAUGAACUAAUAAUGAAAAUAAAUCAAAUCUAAUCAAAUUGAUUGAUAUUUACCCUGUAUCCUGAGUGUGCCGUAUCUUUAGAUCAUUAUUUGAUAUUAGACAUCUCAAUUGCACCACUUAUAUCAAGGUUAAAGAGUGAGAAUGUGACCUCCUUCAUCAAUUAAUAGUUCAUAUCUCAAAAUGGCAUUUGUGCCUAAUGAAUACUGUUAAAUAGCCUAAAUGCAUUUUAAUCCUCUCCAUCAAAGCGUGAUUACAAAAGACGGGUUUAUCAAGUGGUCCUUUCAUUUGGUUAACAUGAUCAAAUUGACUCCUGUGUCGUGAGAGAUGACACCAGUGGUAAUUAAUUUCUCCAUUAAAGGCUGGACGAUGUGACAGCCAUGCAAACAGAGCCGAGUGACAGCGAGGACAGGAUAACUUCAGCAAACUGAGACAAACCCGACUGGUGAGGAGGAGCAUGGGUAAUCACAUUAUCCGUCUGUGGGGGAAUGCAUUGUUAAUUAAAAUAAAACAACGCAGGCUACAAUCUACGUCCCUGCAUCAUCUACAUUUUUGCAGAGACUGCAGAUUUGGACGUGGAUAUGCAUUUACAUAUAGUAAUGAACUUUUCAAAAUUCAUUCCAAAUUAGUCAAGUGAGCUAUUAGAGCCUGUGGGUAUUUCAAACAGAGGCUUAGCUUACUUGUAGUUUCAGUUUCUUUUUUUUUUUAUCCUAUUAAGUGUUGAACAAAUAAAACAAAGUGAUUUAUUAUGUGAAGAAAAAGACGCUGUGAUACUCUGAUGUUUAUUUAGAUAGGAAUCAGAGGCUUCAGAUCAGAGCGAUCAGCUUAUGAACUGAUUGAAUUGAACUCAAAUCUCUCCUUCAGUGGAUUAGUACACAGAGAGAGAUUUUUAAGAAGAUGCUAGAAAGACAAUAAUCUUAUUCUUUUGUAUUCUUUUAUCAUGGAUUAUAAACAUCUACCACUUUCUCUCUGCCUUCAUGCAGAUCAUUUGUAGUUUAAACACAGCUUGUUAAGUAACCUUUGUAUUUAUAAAUAAGUGUGUGAAAGUGUUAGGUUUCUGGUGUGUGUUUUCCUGCAGGCCGUCUGCUUACCUACAGGGGUUUUUGAUAAAAAGUGAAACCAACAGUUUCUCCUCCAGCAGCGAGACCUGGGGGCUUUCCCCCAGGGAGGGGGCCAAUUGUCCAGCUUUUUCUCCACAAUGCUGCCAUAUGGGGAACAGAGGGAUCAGCCUGUGGCUCCCUGCCAGAGCAAAGGCAAACACCAAUCCACAUAUGCAUAGAAGUGGUCAUUUAGAGCCGCCGCUUCUUACCAUAACAACAGAUGAAACACAGGAGUCAUUUUGUUUCCUCUGAGAGGCAUUGUUCCCAGGGCUCACCGCCUCUUAAGCUGGCUCCGUAUGAGGCAGGAUAAACUUAGGGGCCCGGGCCCUGGUGUAAAUAACAAAGAGAACCUCACUUACAUGCUUCCUAAAUCCUAUAGAAAGAUGAAAAGGAAGGGAAAAAAACACUCCAUUUCCUCAUCUGCUGGAAAUGAGCUUAACACGAGAUAAAUGAAUUUAUUUGAGUGGAUGUCCACACUGUAUGUGUGUAUGUGUGUGUGUGUUUUGGGACUUAAUGCCGUUUCAUUUGGAAAACUGAUAGCACGAAAUGCUUCAGUUGUUUUACAAUUUUAAUUUAUAUCCACAAUAAUCAACAGCAUGUAAUCAUAUAAGUGGGUUUUAGCUGCAAUUAUGCUUGCAACUGACAUGAUGGACACAAACUAAAUGAGCACUGUCCUAAAGGAGCUGCCAUCAAAUAUGAUUAACUGAUAGAUUUAGGGAUUGUUUACUGAUGACUUUUAAUUGAACAACAUUGUCCUAAUGGCGUUGUUGGCAGAAAAUGGCUUUACUUCCAACCAGGAUGUGCACUGAAUUUAAUUUUUGUACACAUGGUGCAUUUUCUACGAAUAUAGAAAAACUGUUGUUGUUGUUUUUGUGGAUUGUUUCUUUUUUUGUUGUCUUAACUCGCUGUAUGCCAGUAAAAUAUUCACCAUAAUAAUAUUAAACCAGGCCGAUCCUCAGCAAAAGUUUUCUUUCAAAAAACGCCUCAGUUGAGGGUUGACGAACAACUUUUCAUUAGCAGGUGCCAGUGUUCUUGUUGUGAGUGUCUUCGUUUAACUCUCAAACCAAUGAGCCAGCUGGCCGUUUUGUGCAGGCUUGCAAGUGGUUUAGUGUGUAUUUCAAAGCUGGUCAGCCAGUCAGUGAGCUACUUAAGAGCAGCAAUAUUGUAAUAAUGGCUCGCUGAUGGGAAGGUAGCAAUGGAGCUGAACUUCUUCCAUUCCUCUGAAGCUGCCUGAUUAUGACCAAAGGAAUAAAUUAUAGCUGCAAACAACCUCAGAGUCUGAAAUGCCUCCGACGGUGAGCUUGAAAAAAGAGAAAUGAAGGGAAAAACGAGCUCUUAUAGUUUAAUUAAGAUAGUUUUUUUCUCUAUAGGUUACCUCUGUAGAUGAAGUGGUCCAUUUAGAUCAUGUAAGUGAUCUUAAAAAGUGAUUAUGUAUGCACAUUUUUCCAUAGCAUUGUUGCCUUACGUAUAUUUUAGCUGGGCUAUGAUCAUACCUGCUAAUAUUUGGGUUAUAAAAUCUGGGAGGUUUUUGUGGUGCGAGCCGGGCAGUUUUGGGGUUACCUUGUAUGGUAGAUAUGAGCUAUUUAUAUAUAAUUUGAGGCUGAUUUAGAUAUGAGUAUUUUUAAUUAAAUUGCUCAUCGAAAUAAGUAUAAGUGAAACUGCACACUUUUUUGUUUUAACAAUAACAAAUGGUAAAAAAAAAUGCCAUGAUAUGCCUUAAACUUAUUUAGUCGACUAAUAUUAGUGUUAAAGUCUUCAUAUGUUUUGCAUGCUCUCCUGUAGGAGGCUCUCUGAACAUCUGUGCAAGCAAUACAGCACUCUUUUAUCUGAGGCUACCCUGAACGCAUCACUCUAAGACGGUGCAAGACUAUCAACAUAAAUAUUGUACUUACAUUAGUUUCCCUUUCAUUGAAGUGUUCAUUUUGCAACAAACACUGCUUAAAUAUAGUUUACAGCUAAACCGACCUGAAUCAUCCCAAACUGUGAGGUGAAGUAUCAAUUCAGUGUCCAUGAAGCUCAGCAGAAACACAGGACAAUCUUCAAUCUUGAUGACAAAAUUUUAAACCUAGGAGUUACCUUCUGAAGAUAUGACCAUCUUGUAUUUUUGCUACCCAUUAAUCAAUUGACUGGCUUAAUUGUUUGCCUUUGAUACUCAAGAAAUGAGGUUAUAUGGUAAAAAUAACUAGAGGUCAUUUUCUCCUCCUGUAAGUUCAACCUUGAUUCUGAAUGUGAGCAGAUCACUGUAAAUCACGACUACCGGCCAAGUUUAUUGGAUAAGCAAUCUAAGAGUCAAACUUGGUGGAAGUGUUCGUCUGGGGGCUCGCUAGUGCUCUGUGUUUGAGCCACAUCCAAUCUCAAUGAAAUAUUAUCCGGUGUUUUAAUAUCCAGAGGGUGUCAGGCUGCAGCGAGAGGCACUCAACUGCUUCAGUAUAACCAAAUGUUACAGUAUAAAACAGCGUGUCGCGUUGCUAUUUGACAUGCUGGAAUGAGAUUAGAUGGAAUUCAUUUCUAAGUGAGGAGAAAUUACAAGCCUGUUGGUAACAGCCACCCCCCCACCCACCCUCACACACACACACAUGACAGCAGCCUCUGCUCACCCCCACCAGUGGCCCAACAAGGGAGGGUUAGUCGGGCAUGAACAGAGACAUGAACAGGGAAUGACCCCACAAACUACAUCCGUAUCCACCUUCAGUUCAGCAGGAGGAAGCUGUGUUGUUUUAAAGGUCAGAUCUGCCCGGGGUCGCACAAGCAUGUCUGCUGCUACACAGCUACACCCAAGGUAAAGUGGAGUCAUGUAGAGAUAAACAUAUUAUUUGUCAGAUUUAACACAGAGACAACAUUGGAUUAGAAAUCAAACGGUGCACAGCCCUGCCCAUCUGCCUUCAUGUAAAAAAUACAAUAAAAAAAAAACACAAAUAAAAGAUAACUGCAAUGAAUAAGUUUUAAAAAGAAAAGAAAAAACAGGCAUGAGAUAUAACAUAAUAGUGAUAACUUAUAGAAACACCAAAACAAUGCUAAUAGUGCUGUUGAUUAUCAUACUAUAUUUCAACUCUUAUUAUAUGAACUACUAUUAUAAAACUACAACAACGACAACUAACAUGAUAAUAAUAAUAAUAACAAAAUAAUAACAGAAAUAUAAUAUUACAAAAACACAAACAACCAGCUAUAUUAGCAAUUACUAUAAUAUAUGAAUGAUCUAGUAACACUUAAUUUGACGCCUAUCUCUAUAACGCAUUAUAAAUAUAUGUAUAGUGCAUUAUAAUCACAUUAUAGCACUGUCUAACUAUAGUUAUAAACACUCAUAAAUGAUCAUAAUGCUUUAUAGCAAUAAUCAUAACACAUAAUAAAGCAUUUUAUCAUGAAUUACAAGGUCAGGUAUUAUAAUGUGUUAUAACCGUUAACAACAGUUGCAUUGCAUUAUCUAUGUGGGUAUUGUCAGUGAGUUGUUAACAGUUAUAACACAUUAUGAUACCUGACCUUGUAAUUCAUGAUAAAAUGCUUUAUAAUGUGUUAUUAUUGCUAUAAAGCAAUAUAAUCAUUUAUGAGUGUUUAUAGUUAUUCAGUGCUAUAACACAUUAUUUAACAAGCCUAAAUAAUGUGUUUAUUAAAACUCCUCUCUAAAAAAAAAACCCUUCCAGACAAAAUAAGUGCCUUCUGCUAAGCCAGUGGACUUUUCCGCUCUUUGUUCCUAAGGGGCUUUGACCACAGAGAGGCCCUUGACAUUCUGAUCCUUGAACACAUGUCUCGGGCUUUCCAGCACAUCAGGAUGACACCUUAUGAAAGGGGAACCCCACCUUUGGCUUCUCCGGGAGAACAACACGUGUCAGCGGCCCCCCGUGGGCCCUGUCAGGGGGUGAAGAGGUUAGGCGCUCUGUGCGGCCGCACACAUCCCGGCCUUCUUGAAGACCACCAUAAUGACUGCUAAUUACGCUACCAUCUGUGGGGUGGGCUGUGUUAUGUAGACACCUGUUCAUUAAGUCAGAGAAGGAAACUUUUCUCGAAGAAGCACACAAAACAGUUGGAAAAACUCUCCUGCAUUAUGAUACAAAAACACUCUUGAUGAGAAGAAUUUAGGGGAAGAUACCUCCCGGAUUCACAUUAACCCACAUACUUGUAUCAAUAAAACUCCUGAGCAUGCAAUAAUUGAACUCCUCUGUGUGGCUAAUGAUUGAAUGAACUCUGUGUGAUACCUCUCCAGCUUCAGAAGGCAUCACCAAGGUUAACCAGGCCAUCGGGCAGCAUUAGCAGGAGGGUGUUUGGAGGGGAAGCCAAUAAAAAGCUCUCAGAUAUCUGCUGAAGGGGAGCACAGCCUGUCAAUUCUGUGGCCCUAAGAGCUGAUCUGCCAUUACUGACUCACAGAAGACUAAUGAGAGCCAUUCUGGUGCCAGCACCUUGAAUAAUAUGUCGAUACUCAUUCAGGCUAUGUGGAAUGCUACCUGUUUUAUUUUCACUUGAUGUAAUACAGAUCCUCCCUUAUUUCCCCAGUUGGCAAACCCUCCUGGUAACUAAAAGUGUGAUAAUGAUAACUCAAAUAUCCUGGUUUGUGGGCGCUCAAGGCCGAACAUUUAAAGCUGUCUCCUCCUUAAACAUCUCCAGACACAUCAAUAUAAUCCCUAUCUUUCACUUUAAGAUUCAUAUACAGCAAUGAUUGCACAUAUUUCAACGUUUUAUCUGUUAAGCUUAUGACUCCAUUUAGCUUCAGAUCCUCGCAGAGUGAGCCGGCACAGCAAUCAUAAACCGGGGAGCCAAUUAGGAUGUUGACGGAUUGAUUUUGGAAGAUAAAUUUGGGAUGUAAAAGGUUGACAUAGCUGCUGUGUCUCUUUCACUGCGUGUGCAGCUCCCAAUUAAGUGAGAAGAGGCAGUUUUUUUUUUCUCCUCUCACCAGGAUCAGAGUGUCUCCCUGACAGAUGAGCCACUAAUGAGAGCAAAUCUCACUAAAUCCUCAAGAAACAUGAUGAAUUGAAUCGUGUUCGCCCUCUUCAUUUGUUGUGUUCACAGACGAGACAAAACGCAGCAUUUAUCUAGUCAACAAAUAGCAAAUGGGUAGGUGGGUCCAUCAUUUCAUUCAGUGUCUGACUUCUCCGUAUGAUAUUAAGAUGGAAAUAAUCUGGCACAGAUUCGUACUGCUCCUGAUACCGUUCUUUUAGAUCCACCUUGUCUGGCUUGAAACAUCGUAUGGAGGUUGAAUGCAAACAUAUGUUAAGUCCUGAGGCCUCAAUCUGCCUCCCUCCCUCCCUAAUAUUUACAAGACAAAUUACGGCGGCUAUCUCUCUCAUUAUCUCACUCCGAACCCUCACCAUAUGUAUCCCUAUUAUUAGACAACGAGCAGAAGAUGGCCUAUUUUCAAAUUUAAAUUACCAAGUCUAACCUUAAUUGGUUAGAAACGUUGUUUAGUGGAUGGUAUCAAAGUCGGGCUUGGGAGAGAAUCCGACAGAUGGCUUAGUCUUAUGACUUGUAUUAACACCUUCGAAGUUUAAUGAACUGUUAAUUGCUUUUCUAAUACAUAAUGGGACCAUUGGAAUACAUGCCGUAAUGCAAACAGAUUAGUUUGUAGACAACAGAUAAACACCCGUCCUGUUCAAUGUCACCUUUAAGUACCUUGAAAAACAAAAACAAGCACGAGGACACGAAGAGAGAACUGGUAACAGGUAUUUGGAGGUACGUUUAGGUUGAGGUGUUUUAAAGGUGCCGCUUUUAUUUUUUUGAUCGUAUAGAUUUUAACUAUUCAAACACCUAAUAUACCUACAAAAAUACCAUUUGAUUUAUUAUACCCAUCUAAUUUCAGUCACGAGUAGAUAUUAGGUUCUUUAACAAAGACAACUGGUAUAAACAAGUUCAUUUACAAAUAUUGAUUUGUUUCUAUCCAAUUCUACAACAGGCUAACAGGCUUUAAAAACUAGUAUAACAAAAACAAUAACCUGACCUAGUACUAACAAUCUUCUUUGAUUGUGUCGCUCAUAGAGGAGUAUUUAUCACAAUAAUUGUUGUUUUUUUUUCACUACUAUGGAAUUUUCCAAAGAGACCAUUUAUCUGUUCAAAAAUUCUUAAACGUUAGUCAGAAAGAUCAUAAUUAUCUAACGUGGCUGAACACAGGAUCACAGAGUCUGAAGUUGAAGUAUGUGAAAUUGAUCUGCUGAGUGUAGUUUAGUAAUACUAGCACAACAAUCCUCUGAACCUCCCUGCACAUCCACAUGACUGUGUUUAACCAGACACAGCUUAUAAACAACUUGAUCUUUAUUUUCCUGAUCUCUAUAAAAUUGUGCUGUUUUUGAGAUGCUAUCUGCUUUCUAUGCUUGUUUACAUCCUCGUAGUCGAGCAUUAUAGCACUAAGACGGCAGCCAAAGCCCAACAAAUAAUCUGCAUUUCAGACCCACAAUGAUAAAAUAUUAAUAUAUUUCUCUAGUGUGGACUAGUGAGGAUGAAAAUGCUUAGUUGUUUAAUUGUGAUCAUCCUUAUUCAUAGCCAGUUUGAAACUCCUUAAAGCUCAGACUAUGUUACUUUCUUUCUCUCACUGAACAGCAGGAGUUUUAGCCACAAGAGGAAUUGUAAUUGGGUGUAAUAAAAAAAGACAGAAACGAUGUAAAAAGGAAUCAAAAUCAAUCUUAAAUCAAAAACUCAGUGUAGCCACACAGCAACAUCUGCCUAAGGUUAGAUAGCAUCAUAUAUCUAAUGGAAUUGAUUGGUAAUGAAGUGAGUUUAGCUGACCUGCUUUCACUUCUUAAAGCACACUUGUCUUUACUUUGUGCUGUGAUUAAAUAUCAGGACUCUAAAAACAUUGUUUUUUUCACUGCAGUUGUUCAUUUGGCCAUUUGAGCUGUGCUUGUAAUAUGAAAUGUGCAUUGUACUUUGAGCCCCCAUAAACGCACUCCUACCUCCAGAGGUAGUGCUUUAUUAAAUUAAGCCCUCUUUAAGGUCAAUAUACUUCUGUAAUGAGUUGUCUCUUUUGAUCAUCAGAGGUUAGAUUGUACUCUGAUCCUCACUCCCUUUUAAUGGUGUUGGCGUCACAGCUACGCUAACACGUACACUAACACUGAUGUUUUUCAUAUUUCAGCCUAAAGUCAGCUCAUGUAAUGCUUUGCAUGCUUAAAAUCCAUUUCCAUAGCUAAGUGUAAUUUCCCCUCAGUUUGUUGCUGUUUAAUGAGCUGAAGUCUUGUUUGUGUGCCUCCCAAUGUCACCAGAAAAGUCAUUCAAGCGGCGGUGUCAGGAUUAAAUCAAAUUAGCACCACGACACUGCCAUUUUAAAUCAAACCGUUUGAUUCAAAACAUUUUACAUUAAUCAAUAUUACAUAAAAAAUGUCUCUUGUUUUUUCCCCCCUGUGUGUCUUUGCUGUUUCAUUCACAAUUUGAUGAUGGAUCUUAAUGUUGGAGUGUAUGUGCAGUGAGGCAGGAGGUGGGAUAGUGGAGGAGAGAAAAUGACCAACAUUGAUUUAUCCUGGAUGUUCUCUUGUCUGGUUGGUGCCGUCAGAACACCUCGCUGCAUCCCAUUCCCUCCCAUUAUCUCCCUACGAUCGCCGCAGUCCAACGAGUUUCCUGCAGGGUCAUAAAUACUUCCCCCAGACCCCAUACUGCUUCCACAUCAUCCCCCAGACGCCGCCUAAUGACAGCGAAAGACAGACAAUGCAUGUGACUGCUGUGUGUCUUCUCUCUGUUCAUACACAUUUUGCAGGGGCUGAAGAACGUAUACCUACACCACAAGAGGCCGGCUGCGGCAUGUCCCCCAGACUUUGCAUUUAAAAUGGUACAUUAAAGCAACAUGUCUGAAAAUAUCGCACAUGAUUGAUGUUAGUAAUGACAGUGUUUUCUCAGUGUGAAAGUCAUGUGUGUGCUUUUCUCUCCAGUUAAGGCCCCCAAGAAAAGAAAACGUUGGAGCCCUGAAACAAACACACAAAAAAGACCAGAACGAGAAGAAAGACGGUGCUGACGAUCACAAGCUUAAACAGAAAGUAUAAAGUGAGUAAAAACAAUCCAACACCCUUGAAUGGGAAGGAGACAAUCUAUCAAAGACAAUAAAUCAAAUUAAUUAUUUGGACUUGUUGGUUAGCCAAAUCAAUUAGAGAGCAGCAAACAAAGAGCUGCUAGCAUAAACAAAGUCUUUUCCACAUAAACAUCCCCACCAACAGCCCUAUUAGAAAGAAAGCCACAUUCAUAAACGGCUAACAUGGGUCAAAAAGAAAAAAGGAAACUCAUCUGAUUCACCACAGCUAUGAGGCCAGGUCAAGUGGGUGGUCAAUUGUGUCAUUGUUCCACAUGAUCAAUUGUUUGUACAGUAAAUUUGAGACAACUUGCUUUUCAUUUAGCAGUUUACAGAAGGAGAGCAGCAGACUCCAGACAAACUAAUGACCUCUGACUAAAAAUUUGGCAAGGUAUUGGCCCUGAGAGUGCACCCGCCAGAGAGACUGUCUUGUCCCAGUUUUGGUUUUGUUGUCUGAGAGACGGCUCACAAAUUAGUUGUGCAGACAAACAAUCAGGAGAAACAAAGGCGUAAUGGAAAUAGACACCAAUUAUUAGUGCAAACUAGCUCAGACUGGUUUUUCUAAGAGUUCAGUAAAAAUAUAUCAAUGACUGUUGUCUCUUUGUUACUUUGAACUUUUAUUCUACAUUAAAAUCAUCACCAAAGUAGAAAACCUAUACUUUUAUCUACUGAUUUUCUUCUGUGCUAGUGCCAUCUACGUGAGUGUACCUCAGUGGCUUGAUUUUUGUUUUACAUCAGCAUAUGUCAAAUGUCAAGUUAAAUGUGGAAAAAAACAGGAUUUGUUUUACUUGUAUUUCCCCAUUUUUCAGAGAUUUGAACCGAUUCCUGGUAACUCUAAAGGUUUCUCAGUUAAAGGUCAAAUACAGAAGCUACGGGACUACUAUUAUAUUAUUUGCCAUCAACCUAAGUACGCUUGAAGAUAGCUAAUGCCAGAUCCCCUACUUCAUAUAAUGUGGUAGUAACACUACAGAUAACUGCAGAUGACUUAGCAGCUCUUGAAAAUAACAAUCGAUUGCAUAUCAAUAUGGAUGAUGUAUCUCCAUCCACUUCCCUUGUAGAAAAAGAUAAAUAAAUAAUGAAGCCCAGAUACUGACUUGAUGGACCUGAGAGUUUAGGUAUCUUGUGGGUGAAGCCCAAAAAAUUCACACCCCUCCACCAACCAAAGCUUACAUUUAAUUUACAAAUAAAACACCAAAGAUCCACAUCAGAAUGGAUCCCUGUGUUGAUUUGAAGCAAAUAUUCAUAGGUCAAUGGACUCUGUGUUGUUUGCUAUGUUUUCUUUCAUGGUUCCUUAUUUACCUGGUUAAUCUGCAGGACUCAAAUAAAGAAAAAAGAGCUGUCAAUCAAUCAUUUUAGCAGUAAAUAACCAGUUAGAAAAAAAUAAUAGUCUCCAUAAAGUGGACCACUGGACAUAUACCACGGUGAUAAGAAUGAACUGCCACAACAAGUGAGCAUCAUUCAGAAAAAUAUGUGAUUUUUUAAAAUUUUUGUCUGACCAAUGUGCCAUCUCUUAACAUGGACGCUGUGGGAUUUAUGACCCUCACUCCAGCCAGACACCAGGGAGAUCUCAAAGUUUUGGCUUCACUACAAGGUGCUGUUGUCCUGUCCAUGACCCUACACAGUCUAUGGAAAUAACAGAAAUGAAAAGCCUAUCAACGCUGAAUGAGUCGCAGUGCUUACAUUGUAAAUUAGACUCACUUGUAUUUAAUGCCACCGCUCACUCUCAUCAGCUUCUUGCAAACAAAGCUUGCAAUGAAACCACUGAAUUUCAUCAGAUAUCAGUGGGCUGUCCAUCCUAGUGACUUCACUUGUUAGCCUGGAUUACUAGCAUUCAUUCCCCAAGUGUAACAUAACAAUAAAUCAGAACAAGGUUUUCUCCCAAAUCUUAAAUGUGUUUGACAAAAUGACAAAGUAACCCUACAUGUGCUUGUCAGGUUUGCGUGUGGAAACAGUGGGCUGUUUUACUGAGAGAUUUACUGUCAUGAACCACGCCAGCUCACAAAUAUAUCUAAAAUAAUUCUGUCCUCCCAGUGCAGGUUGACUGUAUAUAUACUGUGUACUAAAAUUAAAGGUAAAGUCAAACUUCAGCUUACUCUUUACAUGAUCAUAUCACAUCCUCACUGGAGGAGGGGGUCAGAGAAAUGCUCUGAGGCUCUUGACGGUAAACCAACUAAAUAUAAGUUCCAUUGUCUGUUUAACCACACGCCCCCACAAUGUGUGUUUGGCAGCCCAUAUUUAGGGACAGUCAGCUGGCAGGAUGAAUUGGCCACCCACAGAUCCGUCGCAUUGUAAAGCUGCCUCAUGCUCUAUUAGUCCCUACUGUUUGAAUGUAUACAUUAAAGAUAGACGAACAAAAUCAGACAGCCAGGCUGACUCUGCGCCGUGAAAUCAGGACAUCAUCGUCCUUUGGUCUGAACAUGAAUAUUCACUCCAGUUUACAUCGUUACAGACCGAAGCGUGUGUGCCAGCGAGCUUUGAUGUGAUGCUCUGACUGACUCCUCAUUCAUGCACAUAUUGUAAACUGUAAUAUAUGACCUCGGGUUGAGCAUUUUCUUUGUGGGGUCUCGCAGACAAGCCGUGCACUGGGGAGGGACACGAGUGACUGAGCAUUGCUCUAUUGAGUAAGCCUCCUCUAAUAGAAUGGCGUGUUUAGGCCUGUCAUUCAAAGCAGAGGAGCGCCGUAUGAUGAGGAGGCUGGGUAAAUGAGUGUUUUAGCAGGCAUGGCUAAUGUCUACAAACCUGUGGUGUUUAGUUUGCUGUUAAGGAUGGCAUUAACAGAGACUCAGACCCGGGGAUGCUGAUCAACCCUGAGGUCCUAACACAUGGGAUGGAGUUUCUGGCUCAUUUCCUACACCAUAAUCAAGGCUUAUGCACUUUUUUUGUGCGAGCUUCAAUAGAUGUGUGAGCGCAUUUAUAGGAUCUGGAGGCUUGUUUUUGUGUGGCUAAGCUCAGCUCUGGAUGUCACUUUUCUCUGUUUAUGUCGUCGUCCCCUGUCUGUCUGUCUAUCUCUCUCGUCCUCUCUCUCACCCUCUAAUGGAGGCGGGAGGGAAUCGGCUAAUUAAGGAUGUAAAUGGAACUGAGGAGUGACAAAGAGCCUGCUUGUAAUUCGCAUCUAAAUUGUCUCUUACCUCAGCAGAAAAUUUAUCACAGGAGACAAUGUCAACUUUUACACGGGCAGAGCCAUUUGCAUUUUUUCGAAUUCAUUACAAGGGUGGCGCUGCAAUCAUAAGCCGUGAUACAGAGCCCUUACCCUCCCUCCAACCCUCCCUCUGUUCUGCUGCACCCACCCCACCCAUCGCUACCGGGUAGAGGAUAAUCUGAUGGGUUCCUCUUCAGUGGUCACUCAGUGGUAGAGGAGAUGCAGGGAAGGAAAGGAGAAGGGGAGAUGGAAGACGAGGGUAAAGAGGAGAAGAAGAGAGAAGGGGUGAAAAGCAAAGUAGGAGAGAGAAUGAUAAAAAGGAAAGGAAGAAAAAAGAGAGGGAAAGGGAACGGCAUGGCUAAAGGUUAAAGGAAAGCAAGGAGGGAAGGAGAGGUGGAAAAAAGAGGAAAGAAAAAGAGGAGACACAAGGGGGAAAGGAGAGGAGAAGAAAAAGGACAGAUGAGGAGAAAAAAGUAUAUAAGGAAAAUAAAGAGGAAUGGAGAGGGAAAGGUUAUAGAAGGGAAAAAGGAAAGUAGAAGAGAAUUGAAAGGAAAAAGAAGAGGAGAGCUUAGAGGACGGAAAGGAUGAGUAGAUAUGAAGAGAGAAAAGGAAUAGGUAAAGAUAAGUAUAGGGAAGAAGAGAGAAAAAUAAGACAAGAGGAAAAGACUAGGAGAGAGGAAAGGAAGUGGACAGGAGGUGAGGAGAGGAGAAGAAACUGAAGGAGGAGUGAAGAAAGGAGGAGAAAAGGGGGGAGAGAGUAGCAAGGGGAGAGGUGAGGAGAGUUUGUUUCAUGUGGAGCAUAAAGUCCUCCACCCACUUGUUUAUGUGUGCGCGCAUGUGUGUUUGUGCGCGAGCGUGCAUGUGUGCAGCAGAGCCACAGCACUCUCCCGAGCGACAGAAACCUUGUUGUGAUUUAUGCAGCCUGAGAUAUGAGUGCUGGUUACGCAGUAGCAAGACAUCGAUCUGACAAAGCAAACCAAACAAUAAAGAGGCGAGGAAGAUGAUGUGCCCAGUGGAGUGGAGAAAUGGAGAGUGUACCUAUAAGAGCUAAUUAUCUGAGCACAUAAUUCUUCAGGUUAAGACAGGGGGGAGCUGAGAGCCAGCCAAGCCACAGCUGUCUGAGAGGAGGCUCAGCUGUACAACGGGCCUAAAGGUCCCGGACCGUGGUCAAGAACAAGUCAAAAUGAAAUACAGAGAACGAAUGUGACAUCAACCCAGGAGAAGAAAAAAAUAGGCAGGACUCGGAAGGAUGUGUGUGUGUGCAGGAUACUGUCAGAUGUUUUAGUUUUUUUUUAAUGUACAAAAGACCUUAUGGCCCAUGUUUUUUAUAUGGUUUAUAAAGCAGGUAAAAAUUAGCUGAGUGUUUAAACUGAUCAAAUAUGAAAGAUCAAGCCGUUCUAUCAGAUCACUAUGGUUUGAUUGCUCAUGAUUACUUAAAUAUCGUUGAUUCCUGUUACAACAAACAGUAAUAAUAAUAAACAGUUUAAUGAUUAAAUAUUACAAACUUCAUCCUCUGAUGGGGUCGCUCACACCAAGCACGAGUAAAAUCAUCUACUCGCUUAAUUCGCGCGAAUCUAGACGCUUGAAUGAAAAGUAUUUACUCGCUUCAUUCGCGCGUCAACGGUAAUUUCAACGGUAAUCCCUGCCAAUUCAACCGGCGGGAUCAAGUGAUAGACAAAGGUUUUUCACAAUUUACCAGGUAAUCCGACCUCCUCACUCACUUGCUUCCAGGCGAGCUCCUUUUUAUUCUGGGUUCAGUAAUUAAAAGAAAAAGUAUCAUAUAAUUCAAGGCACCCUCACACCAACACGAUCAGUUUGUCCUCCAUUUUAGAUACCAAUGAAUAACCAGCUGUUUUCAUACGUCACCCAGCAACUUUCGUGCUCAUUGGUUAUCGCGACAUAAAUAUCCGCUCAAGUUUAGACAUUUUCAGCUCCCGCCGAAUUCGCGUCAUUUGCGCCGGCAGAGUAGUAGGAGUGCCUAAUCACGUCUUUGCGUUGACUCAACAUGUAAUUCAUUUGCGUGAAUGAUUUUACUCACGCUUAGUGUGUUGAGACAGUAAGAAUGACUUUGUAUGCUCAAGACUCCCAGCUAUGAAUUUUCAUCAUCUUACAGUCAAACCAACAUCUGUUCCUAGUCUGCCUGAAAACAGCUGUUUCUAUCCAAACUUUUCAUGUGAAAAUCUUUUCACAAAGUUUUGUGUUUCUUUGUUUGGUCUAAAUUCAUCUUCUUCAAAUAGUUAUGCAAUGCACCACCUUGGAAAUCUCAAGCCUGUAUUCUCCAGCUGGUAAGCUUAUAAGGUCCUGAUCUGAGGUUAUAUUACAGCUACAACUAGACUUUAUGGUUUUGUCAGCGGCCCAUUACAAUCUCUGAACAAAUUCAAAAUUCACAGUUUGAGAGUACGGUCCUCUAACCUUCUCUAUAAGCCAUGAAAAUAGUCAUGAUGAUAUUUGCAAUGAUUAUUUCCUAUCUUGCAAAGCUAUUCUCUGCUUCUGUAAGCAGCGAUCCUUUAAUUAGACACAAGCAGGCGUACACAAAGACUGGGGCGGUGGGUGCUCCCUGCCAUUAAUAACACUAUAUAAAAGCAGAGCCAGACAGCCUCUGACACUUUUAGUAGUUUGGGAAACAAGAUGUAAUCUGCGUUUGGUGCCAGGAGCGGACCGGGGCUGUGUGUGCGAGAGAGAGGGAGGGAGUGUGGCCUGUAAGUCAAUGCAAACAGAGCCGUGUGAGUACAUCACUGAUGAAGACAUUAUCUAUGAGUUAUACAUGCUCAGACAGCGGGAGGGAGAAGUCUAUAGGAACUAUAAGACAGAGAAAGUGACAGCUGAAGUUGGCAUCUGCUGUUGCCAAGGCGAGCCACUGAUGUGUGUCACUUUAAAGCUUUUAAAAGAUGUGAAUUAAAGGAUAAAUUCACUUAAAUGUGAAAUAUAUAUAUUUAUAUGGUGCACCAGUGUAUUUGAUACACAAUCUCGUCUUUUUGUUUGGGUGCUGUGAGCUUUCAUUGCAUUUGUUUUAUGUGGCAUUGUGUUUUAUUGCAGCAUUUUGUGUUGGGCAUGAGAGGAUGGAGCAGAGGAUGAGGUUCUGUUUAGUGGCACCCCUGGCACCCAUCUAACCUUGGCAUACUGCUGGGCAUGCUCCAGUGGCCCUGAACAUGCUGAGGUUUGAAUCCAGAAAUGCCUUUGUGCAGCACAGGCCACCAGAGAGGUGGGAGGCUCCAUUGAUAUAUCCUCAACUGUAUCGCAGCAUCAGUCAGGACCCUAGAGCUAAAGCCGCAGAUCGGAUUUCCUGUAUAUCCGCAACAUUAAGAGACAAACACUUCAAGUGAGAUCUCCCAGAAAUAUUUAAGGUCCAUUACCUGCUUGGGUUUAUUAGAAUUUGACUAAUUUUGACAAUGAGCUAAAGUACGCUUAGUUCAUGCAAGGUCAGUUUGUGUCAUUGUUUUCUUGUUUGUGUGUUUGUUUGUUUAAUAAAAACCAUGAAUUCUAAUUCUGGCAGCACAGAACGGCCACAUUAACCAGGCAUGGCAGUCUGGGACGGGGUCCAGCUGGAAGCAUGCAUGGGGAUGCUGCUUUCCUGCGACAAAACUGGCAUCACUGGCAAGGACUAAAUAGUUUCUCAUUUUCCAAAAAGUCAGUAAAAAAAACGAGGGAAGAAAAUUCAUACAUUUAACAGCGAAUCCUCGGGCUGCCUUUUUAGUUCUAGUUUAUACAACCGCUAUCGCCGUAAUUAUAUUUUGAUUUGUAGAUUUGCUUUGGAGCGUUUUAUCUCACCUGUGGCAGAAGUCACUGAUAAGACGGAGGGGGUACUCUGCUAUAGCACCAUUGGAAUGUGAGAGACACGAUCAUUUCUACAUCUAACUUCACUAUUCAUCUUCUCCUCCCUCCUGCGUUUUUUUUCUUCUUUUGGCCGGCUGCUUAGUUUGUUGGAUGGGUGUCUGUGUUGUGUGUGUGUGUGCAUGAGGAAAUGUCUGAGAGUAGAGUUCAGCAAAAGUGCAUCAGAGUGUGUAUGUGUGUGUCUACGUCUGAGUGUGUUUGCUACUGGUUGUGAGUCCCGAGUGACCGUAUCUUAUUUUCAACGUGGCGGUCGUCCAGCUUCAGAAGGGGACACGUAUGAUGUACAACACAUGUAAACAUCACGAAACUGUGUAAACACAUAUGAGCGCAAAGACAAUGUGCGUGUCGUUUUUUUGUGUUUUGGCGAUAUCGUUAAACCAACACUUAAAUUUGUGAAAUUGUAAAUGGACUUUCGGAUGCAUGUCAUUGGCUCUUGGCUCUGGGGUAGGCCCUUUACAUUUCACGAGCAGGAAUCCAAAGCCAAAUGAACAUAAAAACUCGAACGGGGACUUUGUCACAUGGCAGCAGUGCUAUUAAAAUCUCCUUUCCUUCUGCCAUUCCCAACAUGCUGCUGGAGCGCAGUGCUAAUCUUCGGUACUCUUGCCUUCAUUGGCCUUUACUGUGUACAGCCGCCUUUCUCUCGCACUUUCAUCAGAAUCCCAUUCCCCCCUCCCCGCAGCCCGAAAGCCCCCUCUGAAACCCAAGCCCCUCGCUCCACCAUUCUGGCCUGGCUAUGAUGGAUGGCGGCACCUCAGGUCCUCUCAGCCUGUCCAUCAAGCCCUGCGAUUAAAACACUCGGAAUGACCAACAUUUUUCUCUCUCUCUCUCCCCCUCCUUCAACCCUCUUGUCCCCCAUGCCACCCCUCCACUCUCAGGCCACCACCACUGCAGCCCUCUGCCCCCUCACCUUUCUCACCCUCCCUCCAACACUCCUCUCCCACUUCAACUGCCCCCAGAACCCCACAAUCCAUCUUGUGAUGAAAAAACAUCAUUUAUUCUGUACUUCCCAGAUAAUUUACUUUUUCUCUCCCUCUUUCGUUCCUCUUUUCUUUUUCCCCUCCUUUCUACAGGAAUUCUCCAUUUCCCUAUAAAAUGAAAAUUCAUCUGGAAUUACAUCUUAUGUCAUCAUUAUGUUUAUUAAGCGUGGAUGAUGUAUAUGAGGAGCUGCGGCGUGCCGCUGAGUGCUUAAUGAUGCAUAAGAUUAAGCCGAGCCUCUCAGCUGUGCUGAGACUCCCCUCUGCUUCCCAGGCUGCAGACACACGCUGGGGGAACAGGCUCCAAACGGCCAUCAGGUGAACAGGGGAAAAGGGAAAGCCUGCAUCCUCUUUGUGUGUCAGCACAGACUAAGGAGAAGUGUGGAGUUUGUGCACAAGAGUUGCUGAUAAGGGAGGAUCAGAGAGUUGGCACAGACUUCAGAGAAAGAAAAAGAGUGUUUGUAUCUGUUUUGUUCGGAGCAGUCAAAGUCAUAUCUGUUAUUCUGUCCACACAUACUAACUACUGGAGCCAUUUUCUGCAAUAACUGAGCUCCUUGUUACCUCCUCAGUUACCACAUAGCUCCCUUUCUCCUCACUGAUCUUUUCAUACUUUUGAUCCAAGCAGACACACACAAACACGCGCACACAUACACACAAGUGAGGGGUUUGCUCUCGGCCUCCCUCUAGCAUAGCAGCACAAGCACCAGCAGUCUACGACAAAAACAUUAUCCUUCUGGUGCUAAACAAUCCAAUAAACCUCUCCACGGGGAAGAACUUAACCUCUCCUCUCCUCCGAUGCCGGCUUCCAGACCACGUGACGGCUGCCACAGUAAAUUCAAAUCAUUAGUCUUCUCACUCUGCCAUCACACAGGGAAGGGGAAAAAAACCUCCUCUAUUAGUAAUGGAGACCUCGUCAGAGACCUUCCUCUGAGAGCCCUGCCUUCCCAAUUCCCACAGGAAAAAUCCCCAGCAAAAAACUAAUUCUACUUUUAAUAAUCUGUCAUCAGGACCAGAGGCAGUCAUAAAUUAUGUGGGGAGCAUGUGCGGGAGCGGGCCACGAGAGGGAACUCAGGGGGAGAAAUCAAAGCCGGAGUUUGACAAACUUUGCAGAAGAUAAAUAAUAACUUACAAACAGGAUUAGUUGUAAAGUCACGGAUGAGCACCCUGCCAAGCAGUUUCCCUAGCAGUCUAUGCGGGAUGAAGAAUUUACAGACAUACCUGUCAUUAGCACCUCCCUCCCCCUCUUCUUCCACACAUCCUCCAACCUCUCUUUUCAUUCUUACUCCCCCGGUUUCUCCGAGAUGUCUACAGGUUUUUCUCUUUGAGCGGAAAUAGUUUGUGUUUCAUCAUUUAGCCUCUUAGUUCCCAGGGGCAGGUGCAGGAGGAGCAUGAUUUUGUGGAGUUGUAGGAGGUGGUUAAGAGGCAGUAUGAGCGUAGUGUGGCAGGGGAAAUGGCCUUUUCCUCCACCCUUAAGUAAAUAAACAUGAAUAACCAAUCAGCCUCCCGCACACAAGCGCCACAGUGCUAAUAGCAAAUGGAGCUGGGAUGUACCCCGAGAAGCUGAUGAGACGCCAUCGAUUGGGAUGAUCGCUUUCUGGGCAUCUUUGUGUGUGUGUGUGUUUAUAUUCAUGAAUAUGUCCGUAAACUGUGGCUGCAUUAUCUUUUGUGUGUGCGCGUCUGUGCGAUGCCGAGUUGGCGAGAAGAAAGCGCUAUGAGCCGUGGGGUUGUUCUCUCACUGUUUCCAUGUCAAUAUUUGCUGGAACGAUCGACAUGCAUCAUAAUCGGCUCCCUCCAUCACACCGCGGCUAAAGGCCCAUCUCCAUCAGGUGACAGAGACCAGUCAGGUGAUGAAUCCCCCCCACAGCCAACCAGGAGGGGAGGAACUGGCUGAAAUGAGACAAGGCAUGUUCCCACAAGUCUGUGUCAAAUCUCUAUUGAUUUAAUCAUCAACAGAGAGACUCACUCCUGACUUACACAGCACAGGGUCACAUAAUGUACAGCAAUGGCUAACUUUUUCUACCUUAAUACAUAACAGGCAGGCACACAUAUUAAUGCUGUUGUCCACUUCUUUCUCUGUACUCCUGUUUCUCUUAGUUAACCUAGACAGACAUUUAAUGCCGGGUUAUUUUGUCACUUAAAAUCCAUGUACUGUUAUUCAUAGUAUGUUUAGAUUUGCAUGAAAUAAGAAAUACAAUGGCAAAAAUUUACAUUUUUCUAUUUUUUAGUAACUAUUCCCAUGACCAAAAUUAAAUGUUAACAUUGUGUUUACUUCGACAACCAAUAAUCAUAAAAAUAGCUUGAUGAAAAUAAGAAUGUUUCAUGUAGACAAAUCAACUGGAAGAAACAGAGUUGUUAAGACAAGUUAAUGUAAAAACUUGAACUGAUAUAGACACAAAAAUCGAAGAUGCCAGCGAGGAGAAUAUAAUCUUCGAUGCACAGUGUUUAGCAAUCAUAGUGUUAACAGCACAGACAGAGCGGACUGCUUCUUUAUCGUCUAUGUCCAGCAGAUUAAAAAUGGAAAAAUUAUAUGUAUGUCUAGAUGGUGCAGGUCUUUAUCAGACCACUUAUUUAACCUCUAUGUAAAGAGAGAAGUUGGAAUCUCUCAUCAAAAUGAUAUUUAUUAGGUUGAAGAAAUACUGUACACGUAAGCAAAGCAUACAAACUAAAUCUUAGAGCGCUUGUUGUUGGCCUUGUUUGUCAAAAGGUUAUGACUGUCAUCCCUCCACACUUUGCUUCCAAUAGUAGUGCCAUCAGGUCUUCUUUACAAGGAUCUGUAUUCUUUUGAUCAGUGUUAGAAUCACAUCUAGACCUAGAUAUUGUACUUUGCAAAUAAUAAGUGUGGUCAGUUUCUCUUCCAUACAAACCUCCACUGUUGCCAUUGACUUAGUCGCUUGAUUCUGAUUGGUUGGCGAUUAAAAGGCAACAAUCAUGAGCAAAGUAGUGUUCCCAUAAUUUAUCAGUUUUCAACUGAGACAUGCUGAGCCCUGAAAAUGCUAAAUUGCAUUUAGCUUGAACUGAAAUUAGACGAUGCCGCCAGUGUGGGGAAAACUUUCUGGAUACCUCUCCUUAUGCACUUUAAUUCAGAUUUCUGUAUUUCUGCUGAAAUAUCAAAUUCUGCUCCUUCUUUCACCACUCUGACAGUGGCUCUCAAACACUAAAGAAGCAGGAUCCACACUAACUUACUGACACAUCAUCAGUAAUUUUGGAGGAUAUUUGAAGUUAUUCUUAAACUUGAUCUCAAGUCCCGUGAUGGUAUCUUCUAGUUAAACUAAGACUGAAUUAAGAGCGAUUGAUAAAAGUUUGGACAGUAAUGAAUCAAGAUAACAUUAUCUGUCAGUUUUUUAUUAAAUUACUGACAGUGUGUAAAAUUACCUGCCUAAUAGUUUAAAUGAAGUUGGGGUUAAAUGUCUGCAGGUAGUUUAAUACCUACUGUGAACAACGUUUCUUUGCUAACUUCCAAAUACCACCUUAAAUACUCCUGUACGUCCGUCUCAUUGAGCACUACAUAAAGAAUGCAGCUCAAGCGUGUCCCGUGAAAAACCCUGAGAAAAUGCAUACAUGCAGUACUGGGAUUUCAACCCUGCAAAGUAAAGUGCUCAAUUUUCGCUCCAUUCUCCUGCGAUACCAAAGAAGCUCAAUCAUACGGGGACAGUAAUAUGAAUCAAGGACAGCUCACUCACUCUCAAUUGCAGCCCGGUCUAACUGGGACCACGGGUAAAGCAGAAACUGGGUUUCUCAAUUCAAAUGGGAGAGCGAGUAGGCCAGCCGGACUCUCCGGCACGUCUCGAGGCUGAUAGAUUACCUACUGCAGUAAGGACAAAGGGAAUGAAGAUGACUACUCUGCCAAAGCUGGCUACAGAUGAGACAUGCACGGCUGAAUGACCAUGGUGCACCUCACCCAUUUGUCUAUGUGUUCAAGUUUUGUUCCAGGCAUGACAAAGGGGUACGUACACCACACUAUUGACAUAUAGUCUCACCUUUAUUUCAUGGAAUAUCUUGUUCCAACUUUCAUUUUGAGUUACAUUUUGAGCAUGUUAGACUAUCCAUCAACUGGAUUGGCCACUUAAUGUUCCAUACAUGCUGCUAUUUAUUAUAAAACAUGCACUAUGAGGGCAUAAAUCCAGUUUUAUAUCCAUCAAGUUUGUCCUGAAAGUAAGAUAAGUAGAGGAGUUAAGUCCCUGCAUAAUGAAAAUGGAAAAACAACUUUUGGAUAUUAUGGAACUUUCUCUUUUGAGGGCUGUCGUUUGACUUUGGAGGCCUCAUUCGCUGCAUAAAAACAAAUAAUUCUGCAGCCGGCUAUUUUUCUGCACUGAGUACAUGAUGUGCCAUCCUCAGAGAUUAACCUAGAUGUUCUUGAGGCCAGGUUCACUUGUAUCUGAGCCACAGUCGUAUAUUACAAUGCAGCUGAGGUGGCAGUGGCAGUAACUCAUUCUUUUCUAUUCUAUUCCGCCUCUGCAUAUUCCACAGGCCCCCGCUGCUCUGCACUUAGAAGGUCACCUCUUUCAUCAGCUAUUCUAUUUGCAUUCCAAAUCGUAGGUACAUGAAAAAUGUGCCACUGAGUUUUCGCGACGGGCCCUUCGAAGGCAGAUUAGAUAGAAUUUGCCAUACCAACCUUAUGCACGCUAACCUUUGCAGAUGGCCCCACUAUUGUGGAGAAAUGGAUUGCCUAAUAAACCAUAUCAUCCGACAUAUUUGCCGCUUGGCUGACCAAAUAGAGGCUGUGUUUUUUGAGCAAAUUCCCUUUGUCAAAUUUGUCAGUGCUCAUGCUGCCGUUUUAGGUUUGGGUCAUAGAGAGGAGGAGGAGGAGGAGGUGGUGGUGGUGGCGGGAUCCCUCAGUGUAUCAGGCUAAAGUGCCGAGCAAUUUGGACUGUUUCUGAAGAUGAGACAAUUUUUCCACAAGAUUUAUUUCAUCAGAGGGGAAUAUUUCAUCUGCUCCUCGGUGUUUGUUGUACGGCUUCUCUUCUAUUCUCCCCUUGUGUUGUGUAAAAGCUCAGGUGUGUGUAGUACUGUUUCACAAAGAUGGACAAUUGUUGCUUCUUAUACCACCUGAUUGAUUAAGGAAAUAUUAGUGCACUUUUGGCUACAUGCUGCUUGUCUCAUUUCUCUAGGGAACAUACUAUCCUCUUUUUAAAACUUUUUUCUGCAUGUCUUCGGGUUCAUCAGCUCGUCUGACAUUCAUCUCCAUCAUUUGUCAUUGAAUCCCCGACAUAAUUCCACUUUAUCUAUAAUUACUGUUGGGCUAGACAGCAGUCAAGAAACAAUGCUACUUCUAAACCUUGCAAGGUUUUCACCAGAAAUCUAAUUUCACAGCGGAGCCCUAAUUCAUCGCUCCCAGAAAAACCUCUUUCAUCAAACUUUGCAUAUGAGCAGCCAAGUGAUGCACAGGCUCUUAACGGCAUGCUUUGCCUCCUUUGGUGAGUUGGCCAACCAAUCCAUCUUCCUGAGUGUGCUCGGAGCCGAGAAGUGGGCAACCGAUGCUCCCGUCACUGGGCUCCUGCGGGAGAUGGAUUGGGGCUCCAUUGCCCACCUCCAGUCCAGUACCGGCCCAGUGGCACAAUCUGGACCUCGGUGCUGAGAGCCACGUGGUGGGCCUUGUGGGGCUCUACGAGGGGGCUGAGAGAGGCAGGAUGGAGGAUGCUGUGUCUCAGUCACUCAUGUAGAAUCCAGAUCCUCUGCUCCACAGGAGACGGAGCUGGACCUCCUGUUUGUGUUGCUCGGAACAGAGUGAGGGUGUCCAAGUCAUUGCCUGCCUGUGUGCAGUCGCUAAUGCAGGCGUUUUAUCUAUGACAAAAUGUCAAACAAUAAUGAGAUCAUCAGCAAAAGAGAAGAAAACUUACUGACACACUUUGACUUCUUUGGCGUAAUAAAAGGCAGGAAUUACUUUCUACUUUAAAAUGUCUGACCUCAUCUCUCGUCGCGUCCUUCAUUGGCUUUAAGUCACUGAACCGUCUGACGGGAAAACAAAUACAAUAAGUGAUGGCCCUGAUUCCUCUUAAUUUGAUACACCGUUUUAAAAUGUACAUCCACCCUUAAGAGCUUGUCCUUCAGCUGGAGGAGGAGUUCAGUUUCAUCCCGUCAUAUCGUUCAUUCAUGACUGCCUUUGAAACUGAAGUGAAAGCUUCUUUUAUUAAUCACAAAGAGCUCAAGUCAAGGCUUUGCACUUCGUUGCGUGCAUCCAAUUUACAGCAGCGAUAAUUCAUGCUAUGCUAAACAUUUCUUGUAAAAUGUCACUUUGUGUUUGUAAUUAAUUUCUAAAUUAAUAAGCAGUAUUUCUGAGUUAUGGCAUCAAACCUUUUACCUUGGUCGCUAAACAAUGCAUCAAGGUGGAAUGAUGGAGGUGAUAAUAAGAAUAAAACUCCGCUGAGACAUAAACUUGGCAGGUCGCCUCAAAGUAGAGCGCUGCAACUAAAGGUGUGUAAAAAUGGAAAUGGUUAAACACUUUUUUUAAAGCCUCUGGAAAAUUCACUUGGAUGGUUAAAAAGUUUACAGAAUCUCAAAGCUGCGUGAGUUUUGGUGAAUUUGUCUCAGGCAGAGUGUCUGUGUGUGACUUCAAAUACUACCUCCUACCGGCUGUGUUUAACUACCGAAUGUGUAGCUAGUAGGUUGGCAUUUGAUGGGCAGUAUUUGAAUGAGCUACACAUUGGAACAAAAAGUGCAUGUUGCUGAAUUCAAUCGAACACUUAGGGCAUGAUCUACUAAGAUCCCAAAUAGUGAACGCUAAAUUGCAUGUGCAAACCAAAAAAUUGCACAGGCUAUUAGUGGGCGUGUUGCGUGUGAUUUGCUAUCAUUGCGUGUGCAAUCGAUAAUAGGAGCAAAAGUGGUGUGGACCACCCUCUUUAAACAAGGAUUUUGCGCACGCUAUCGGCCGUCACCAUGGAGAGUUCGUGAGAGCAGAGUGAUCGUAGAUGAAAAAUUAAGUUUGAAGCCAUGGAGUUGCACCUAUCUUUUUGGGGAAGCCAGCAACUGCAUAAAAGGCAAGGGAGGUUUAUUUGUAUAGCACCAUUUAUACAAUAUAUUUGAAAUAUAAAAAAAAAAUUCAACCGAUUUAAAAUCACUAAGACAAAGAGAUAAUUUUUUGCGACUGUUACGUGUUUGACUUUAUUAGUUAUCAAUAUCGUCAUUUACUAAAAAAAACGCUUUUGCACGUUUGCCUCCUUCUCCCUGCGGGCAGAAGUGGCUGCAGAUUUGUGCGUAACUGUGCUAGUUUGCACGUGCCUUUCAAAUGUGCUAAAUAUAGACACAAAAAAGUGAUCGCAAUCGUUUUCCAGGUUUGAUAAAUCACAUUGCGGGUGCUAAAUGAUUCUAUUUGCAUCUGCUCCUCCCAGGAUUUUGCGCGGUCUGAUUAUCUACAUACAAUCUGCGUAUUCAUGAAGGCAAACACGCUAAAUGGAUUACGCGCUGUUUUGCUCAUUAAGCAGACGCAAUCCUUGGCGCACCCGGUUAGUAGAUCAGCUUUUCGCGCGCUGUCAAGUUUGCAUGUGUUUUUGCACACGCAAACCUUUAGUAGAUCAGGCCCUUAAUGUAGAAACCUUUUCUCUAUGGGAGCUCCCCCAAAGCAGACUAGGCCUUUUAUCCCAUCAUGUUUUAUAUCUAGAUUUUAUGGAAUAAUCUUGUGCACAUCUUAUGUUUUUGUUUAGAUAAGAUAAAGAAGAAAGAAGAAGAAAGAAAGGCUUUGUAGGGUAUGAACAGAGAGCUACCACAUUCACAGAGUAAGGUGUAUGUGUUUUUUUGAAUGUCCAAGUUUGAUCAAGUCCAGUUCAGGAGAGUCAACAGAAACUUAACAAGUUAGAUAAGUUAGAAAGCAGGAGACAAAUGAUUCUUUUUAGAGUUGCUCCCUUUCAUUUAAAAAAUAUUGGGAAUCACCAAAAAAAAAAAACGUGACUUCACUCUCCUCUUUCACAAAUUAGCUCUGUCACUCACUGUUGUCUUAAUCUCGCCACUGCCCAAGGUGGCCUGGUCCAUAGGGCUGCGAGCCCUGCUUACAAGUUGGGGGCUGUGUGUGUUAGGUUACCUCCUAUAUGGGGUAUCGUGUGUCCUUCAUCUAAUGCAAGCUAUGGGCCCUUGAUCAAAAGGAAGCUAAAGAGUGGGGGGUCAGACAUGAGGGCAAAUACACCUGUCACACACACAGAACAGGUGCAUACAUCUCUGCUUAUAAAUCAGAUCUAUUCCAUUAACUCUGAGCUUUAUUUCUAGAACAACAUCAGAGGUGCUGAGGGUUCUGGUUUGAAGGAUCUUGAUCAAAAGACUUUAAUAUAAUGUAAACUUUUCAUUAAGGGUUUUCCUUCUCUACAAGUGUCCCAUCUCCGCUCCUUCAGUGUUACUGAUGGUAACAUCCAUAACCUGUCCUCUGAUAUUUCAUUCCCAUACGGGUGCCAUGAACCUAAGAUGUAAUCGAUACACAGACACACAGGCCUCCUGUGUUAUUACAAGGGGGACAAUGUCUGCUCAGCUUCCCGUGCCGUUACACAGUUCAGGCUUCCAAUUAACCUGAGCGGAUCCCCAUGCCAAUCACACGGGGCUUCUAUCGACAAGCCGCAUGAAAAGAAUAAUGUUGUUAGGAUGAUGUAGCUCACGGUAGGAGGGCUGCCCCCCCCCCACCCCUCCCAGUGCUGACAGGGAUGAGAGUUGUAGUCAUUUAUCACCUCCUCUCUGGUCACUGAGGGGCCAAACGGGGCCACACGCCUCUCACACUCAGCUUGUGCUUCAUCAGACCACAAUCUGAGUAAAUCUGAUUACAGUAACUAAGCCGGGAAAUGUAGCUUGAUUCAACAGUGAGAACAGACUGCCAAUUUUUUUGAGUAUAAUUGAGGGAAUGUGGCUAUGAGGAGAAAGAGCUGAAAAACUGUUUUGAUUUAUACAAAAGGACAUGACUCAGAGGAUCAUUUCUGACCUUUUUUGAUGUCUUAUUCCAUCUUAUUGCAGAAAUUUCACUAUCUGUGUUAGCUCCCCCAAAAUUAUUGCUUUUUUCUCGUAAUAAACUCACUCAAAAUGAUCUCAACUCCAAAUUGAUCAAAAGUUAGCCAGGACGGUUGAGUGUUGAAGCUGUGUUCUGUUUGAUGAAAAUGUCAUACAGGCACAAUAACAGUAUCAUCCUGUAGUUGUGAACACACCUGUUUAUUUGUCAGCAGUGACACUUUUUUAUAAAUCCUGUCUGAAAACAGAUGUGCUGUAACAGUUGGACUGGGACGAGAGAUCAAUCCAUUUAUUUUUCCCCGUGUCUGCCGAGAGACAACAUACAAAUUGAGACUGUAUCUAAGUUACAAUAGCAGCCAAGUGUGGCCCAGCAGGAUUUCAAGAGUGAUGGAGAGUGUGUUUAGACGCUCAGGGCCAAACUCUAAAAGCAUUGUUACAUUGACAAGGCCGCAGCAGAGGAAGAAUGCCUCUUCACAUUUACUCCCCCUUUCUUGGGCUUUGCUGCCAACGGCGACUCUGAUAUUGAUUAUUGUGAAACAAAAAUCAGCUCAAGGAGCACGAUCAUUAAGACAAAUGCGGUUCCACUCAAUGCCAAACACACAAAGACCUGAAAUUCUCUGAGACUUCUCAGUGUCAGACUUCGGAAGAUACAGCGCAGGCCAGUCCUCUGUCUUCUUUAUGUCCACUGCAGAUUAUACUGAACAAUAUAGAUCUUGUGAGUGUGGACUUUCAACAUCAAAUAAAUCUGAUUAAGACACAGGAAGCAGCAAAAACACUACGACACAUGCACUCUUAGUAUUAAAUGGAUUUUUACAUUGAAAAGAUACUGAUACUCAUUUUUUUAUCUGGUUUAAGUCAAGAUGUUUUAUAUGACAGAGCGUUAGGGCCAAAAAAAAGUAAAGCUUUGUAACUACUUACGAGAAUAAAGUUGUAGGAAAAUCAUUAUCUACAAGAAUAAAGUCAUAAUGGAAUCAUUAUCUAUGAGAAUAAAAUCAUAAAAUGAAGUAAAGCUGUCUUUGUGAAGGAGGAAAUGGCUGAAACUGGUCAGCUGCAGAGUUAUCUGUGGGUGCAUCAGUGGGCCAUUCAGAGGGCCAACACCUUAUGGCAUAUAGAUUUAUACGAUAAACUAAAACCAUAUGCUAUUACUGUAAACAACUGCGUUGAGGGAUUUAGCCUCUGCACAGCCAUUGCCAACCAUUUCCCCCUCCUUAAAAACAGCGAUCCCCAACAAGUCCGCCUGGUUGUUUCUGUGGAAAAGACGCAUUUCUUGCAUUUGUCCUGAUACUCAUGACAAUGUGAUGCUGAAACGCCAAAGGAUUUAGUAUCUGCUUGUUUGUGAAACCUAGCUACUGAAGUUCAGUUCAUAUAAAUGCUCCACAGCGCUCAUUUAAACAAAUAAAAACAGGUUAGAAAAGCUAUCAGCUAUGACUUUAUUCUCAUAAGUAAUCAUUUUACUACGACUUUAUUUUUGUAAGUAUUUUUUUUUUUACGACUUUGCUUUCGUAAGAAUUUUUAUUACAACUUUAUUCUUGUAAGUAAUUUUUUUACUACAACUUUUUGUUGUCAGUAAUUAUUUUUUUACGACUUUAUUCUUGUAAGUAAUUCUAUUUUUUUUUUUUUUUCUUAAUGUGGCCCUAAUACUCCGUCAUAGUUUUACACACAGGCGGUCACUGAAUCUAUAUUACUCCUUAUAUGUUUUUUGAAAAGGGGCUGGAGGUGGAAAAUAAAUGUCGUGGAGUGGAAGCAUGAAAUUAAAGCAACAGUCAAAGACCUCAGUGGCCUAAUUCACAUCAAAAUCUCAAAGUCUGAUAAAACACAGAAGACGUAGAGACGAGUUGUGGUACUUUUUUGUUUUGAGACCAUAGAUCUGUUUUUCGUACCCAUGUUUGCUCUCAGUUUCUGUUAUUUUUUGGUAUUUUUGUUGGUCUGGCAGUUGAAUGCCUUUUCAGAAAUCCUCUCAGUCCACCCUGACAGGACGACCUGGAGUUGAUAAUGUUAAAUUACACUAUAAGUUCAGUAUAUCACUACUUUAUUAAGAAAAUUAUUAUGAAUACUCUGUAUGGGACACAUUUGAUGUACAUUAUCAUGAACAGUGAAACUACACUUAUCUCUGUGAUCAAUUUUUCUUGUUUAGCGCCGACUCAGCUCUGACUGGAGGAUGUCAUUGCAGAUUUAAUGUGGUCCCAUACCUUUAAAACUUUCCAUUUGUUAUGUUUGGUCAUCCCAUUAGUCGCCAUUUAUUAUCAUUAGUGUGAUAGAAGCCUCUUCCUCGCAGAAGCAGGAGGAAAAAAAACUCUUCUACAUUUUCACAUUAGACAGAGCUCCACUGGUGCGUCAGAUUAAUGUUCCUUUCACAGAAACAGAAAAGGUAGGUGGAACAUCAACUUCAGGAGACGCACCACAACUAUUACAUUAUGAUGUCUGUUUAUUUGCUUAUUUCCUUAAUGGUUGGAUAAUUCCUGCCAUUUUUCUCACGAUGUUUAGAAAUGCAGCUUGUCUUUGGUCUGAGUGCAUUUUUAGAAGCUGUUGAUGAUAUUUUGGUGUUUUUUAGUCCUGUACCUUUAACCAUCUUUAAGGCUAUAUUUGGCACCAGGUUAAAACUGAGUUCAUGCAUCAAAUGUUUAAUUGGAUAAAGGGUCAAAUGGAGCCAAAGAGAACCAUGCCAAACAUUGAAGGUGAAAGGUUAGAACUAAAUAUUAUAGGGAUGGAAAUAAAAUCAAAUGAAUCACAAAGUUUAGUGAAGAAAUUUGUACCCAUGACCGACUGUAUUCAUCUUUUUGAAGAGGGCAGGUCUGGAUGUUUCCACCCUGAGGUUCAUGUCCCUGUCCUGCCCAGCCAGAGUGAUAAGUAACACAGCCCCCGGCUAGCAGGACAGGUGUGUCUCAGAUUUUUACACUGUGAUUAAUGGUUUUCUUAAUGUACUCAUGGCAGGACAAGAAGUCUCUCCUGACUAACUUUGCAUAAAAAUGCAAAUGAAAAGAGACAAACUGCAGGAAAAAAACACAAUGGGCAGGGCACAAAGUCUGGGAGCCUUGGAGAGUGGGUGUGCAUAUUUCUUUAUUUCAUGGAGAACAACUUAAAAUUGUAGAUUAGCCCUUGUUGUGCUGGAAUAAUUAAAGAUCAGGAGCCUCUUUAAAGAGUAAUGUGGGUGUAAGAAGAAGGUCACAGGAAAUCCAGAGAAACGAGAGGGAUCAAUAAACCCGAAGUUUAUUUAUUUUAACAGCUGUCUUAUUUAGGACUUCAACUGCAACCUUCUUUAUUAGCUAAGAACAAAUAAUCAAUUUGAAGUAAUUUCUUUCUCAACUACUACUGGUCAUAUGUUACUUAUUAUGUAGCAUGUUUGUACUAGAUAUGUACAAAACUUAGUUUCAGGGUUAUGACACAGUUGGAAUUUCCAUAUUUUUCCAUACCCCACAUUUUAGAAGUAUUUUUGGAAAUACCUACUUUUCUAUUUUAGAAAACAGUCAUUCAGAACUGUGGUAAUUGUCUGGAAACAAAUGAUUUUCCAUACUUUAAUUUUCAUUUUCCAUACUUUUUAAGACCUGGAAGUUAAUCAAAUUUAUUUUCAUACUUUUCCAUACUUGCGUAGGAACCCUGUAGUUUAUUUGUAACCUGAACUUCUUGCCAUAACCAUAUUUAAUACAUUCAUUAAUUAACUGUUAACUGUUUUGGCAAAAACUUUUUUAACUGUGUAAAGGUGCUGUGCUGAAAUUUAACGUUGAAUUGAUUCUGGGGACCCCUUUGGAUACAACAUGUAGUGAUUUAGGAGAUAAGGACUGCAUUUCUCUUGCCAAAGUGUAAAUCUGUAGUAAAAGCAAAUUAAUCUCUCUUUUUAUACAUGUCUAAAUACAGUUAAUAUUCACCUGGUUUAACUCUAAAGUCCUCAUAAAGCAUUCACAUGCCUGCAGAGCUCAAAUCUUUCAAAAACUCCACAGUGUUUUUAAGCUUUGAAUGCUUUCAUGUGUUUGACAUCAUUGAUAAAAACGAUGUAAAAUAACAAUGUCUGCAUGCACAGUGUAUGCUAUGUGAUAAAUUAUGUUUAUGUUGUGAUAUCAAGCACUAAUGAACUGUAUGUGCUUUGUUAAAGACAAUAUACUGUUAAUAGAGAUUUGAAAGUUCACUUACAAACAUGUUAUAGUGCGUUAUGUGACAUGAAAUCCACUGUACACACUAACAAUAUGUCUCUUGUUUGCCGUUGAUAAAUCAGUUGCAUAUAAACCCACACAGUCAGACCAGUAUACCAACAGUCUCUAACUGGUGGUGCCCACAGCUUCACCAAAGUACUAAUAAAUAUUUCAGAAAUUUACUUGACUGAGAACAUCAUGAUCGCUGAGGCCGUCUGUUCAUCACUAAGUUUUUUUUUUCUCUCUCUCUUUUAUCAUCAUAAAUAAUGUUGAUUAAUUGGCAAGUCAAAAUCACUGAGGAUAAUCCACGUAGAAUAUAUCACUGUCAGAAGAACUGUUGAAUAUUGCAUUUACACACACAGAGCAUUUUAAUUACAAAAGUCUUAACAUUUUAAUUAGUGUUUCAAAGGAACGAGACAGGACCUUGAAAAAAACUACUUGGUCUUUGGAGGAAAGUUGUCCCACUUGUUUCCUCACACCGUCUUGGUGCACUGCUGUUUGAGGAAAGGCCACUCACUGAUAAGAGGAGAGCACCAAAUGUAGUUUAAUAAUUAAGCUAUUUGUUUGUCAUUUAAUUCCAGAUUUAUUGAGUCCAGUUGCACAACAGUUCAUGGAUAAUUAGCUGAUUAUUUCCCCUUUUCUAGACCUUACUACACAUCCUUUUGGUCCACCGUCAUCUUUGUUACAGCAGCUUUUCUGUACGGCUCUCUGUGUCUCUGCAGAGUCAAGCAGCAUGAUUAAAGCUAAAACACAAGGAUUGUUUAAGGCCUGAGUUUAGUAAUCUCUUCAGGCUCCAGAAAGCAUGUCUUACUGCUUUGUGAAGCCACGACACAAUCAUAUCAUCCUUUAUGAUACCAGAAAGCAGUCCUCUAACACACAGACCCAUCAGAGCCAAUCCCAUCAGAAGGAUGUGGGGCACAGAUGAAAUUGGGCUCUUUAACUCCCUGUAGCGUAACAUGCUAAUGCAGGACAAUGACUCGCUCAUUGACUGCCAUUAUAGAAUAUACCAGAGGCCCUACAUGAGAGCUGAUACAGAAAAGAUGUGAUGAUACAUGAAAAUGCAGAGUGAGCCUCUUUCCAAGGCAAGAAUUCAACUUUUACUUUCAGGUGUGUCGUUAAUGAGGAACAUCUCUAAAGUUUGAAAAUGAAGAUUGAUGUCUUACAUGGCUCUUAUUAAUAUAUUGAUGGUGCUGUCAAAAACAUUACAAAUAACACUUUUUUUUACUCUAUAUUGAUACAUUAGCUCAGGUAAUUGAUGAAAAUCCUGUAAAACUCCUUAAUUUUCCCCCUCUUAUGAGCUAUUUGUCUGCCAUCUGCUCCACUUAGGGCUCCCAAGGGACGUCAGUGAUGGGCUGAAGAAAUCACUGCUGAUGAGAGUCCUGGGUGCUCAAGAUAAGUUCAGUCUGUUAGAGUGCAUGAUGUUCAGCAAAGAAUAUGUAUACAUUUACAUGUUUUGUUUAUACAGAAAUACCCAGCAUUGAGAGCUUGAAAACAAAAAUGAACACUAACUUGGUGAUUCAUUUUCCCAAUAUAAUGGAGUUAAAAAAUGACUUUUUAUCUACUGGGUUAUUUUAACAUUUUACUCUGAUGUUCUUCCUCAGUUUAUUUUCAUUAACAACACGAGAAUUGACACUUCAUUUAUAUUAUGACAAGGAUUUAAAUAUCAUUGCAUCUAAAGCAGCAAACAGUGACCAUUAUAUAAAACAACAUACUUGUUUAAACUUGUUUUAUCAUCAAAGCACACAAAUAUAUCAUCACAUACUGACACUCAUUACACUCCACAUAGUGUACGUCAAAGCUAAGUCUGUAAGUCAGUUGGGUCCGUCUAUUAUCCGUCCAUUCAAUUAUUCCAUUUAAUCUAGUAACUGAAAAAUGAAAAAGCGAGUCAAUAUUUUGUUUAUUUGUUUUUCCUAUAUAACCAAAAAAUAAAAGAUAAGUCUUUUUUUUUUUUCGUAUUUUCAGUUCAAAACAGAAUAUAUAAUACAGAUGGAAACAAAAACAAAAUAAUAAAUCUACUUUUCGUUUUCAGGUUAUUGAUGUCCCCUGUAGCUAACAACGUAGACCAAAAGGCCAGAGCGGUAGAGAAAGGCUAACCUACUGUCAUGGAGAUUGGCGCAUCCUACGCAUUAUUCAAAGCCGCAAGGAGGGUCACACUGAAGGAGAAGAUUUGACUGUAGAAAAAAUUACAACCAGAGCUCUGUUACAACGGAAGAGUUUCGUGCUCAAACUGCUCUGUCGCAUCUUUCGCCAUGGGAAGGCCAAUGUGGCCUCCAUGCACGUAUGCUCAAAACAUCGUUUUCGUUUCCUUCUCUAUUAUAUAUUCUGUUUUGAGCUGAAAAUAUGAAAACAAACACUCAUUUUUAUUUGAUUCGUUUUUUCGUUUACUAGAUUGAAUGGAAUAAUUGAAUGGACGGAUAAUACAUGGACCCACAUGAGUUUUUCUUAUUGUUUUCUGUAAAUAAUUGUGUAAAUUCAAAGCUCUUGGGAGUCUCAUCAUAUUUUGCCAUUAGAGGAACUUCCCAGAGUAUCAUUCAAAUACAGCAACAACUUUACUGUUGGCAUUAAAGACGAGAAAUGCGGCUUAUUUUUUAUAAAACACUAUUACAAUACAAAACAAUUUUAUUUGUAGAGCACAUUUAAAAACAACCAAGUUGAUGAAAGUGCUUUACAUUGAUAUUAAAAAACAAACAAAAUCAACACUCAGCAAAAUACAAGAGCAGACCAGAUAAAAGCAAUUAAAAAGUAAUCGAUAAACAAACAAUAUGUGAUUAGGUUGUGUUAAAAGCUAAAGAAUAAGAGUGUGUUUCAUGCAGAAAUGCACUUUUCAUAUUCAUUUCAUUUUCAUACAGAAAGUUUUUGACUGAGAGAUCAAAACUUAAAACUGGGUUUAAAAUACCAAGCCUUAUUUUUUAGUAGUUUUAUUAAUUUUUGCAACAGCACAGGUUUGUCUCAAAGCAGUUUGGCCCGUUUAUGUCAGUAGAGACAUCACUGAUGCUGCGUCUAUGGAUCCAAAUGCUUACUGAGGCAAGUAAUACAAAAUAAAUAAAAGCCAAUAAAGAACUACAUGAAUUUACUGCUGUUUAACGUAAUGCGACACUGUAGUUUGGGUAGAGGCUGAUUUAGUUAGUCAACAUUGCUGGUGUCAUUUUCAAUUGUUGCAUCAUGGGUGACGACACUGCAGAGUUUAAUUCGUAACCGCUAUGUUUUUUUUUUAACUAUCUUCCAAAACUUAAACCAACAUAAACCAACCUUAAAAAACAGGUCUUAAGAAGAAGAGCCGAUACUAAGUGAUAUAAGUCGUACAUUGCAUCAAAACCGUGUAUGCUUACAGGAUGAGGGAGGCUGUGAAGUAAAGGGGGGUGGGGUGCUUUUAAUCUCUCUGUAAUCAUGACGGCCGUUGGUGUGAAAUGAACUGUAGCCACUCUCCUUGACCAGUUGGCAGUGGUCAGCGGCCCACAUCCAGGAGACUAGAUUGGAUUUAUUGCUACUGGGCCAAAGGUAACAAAUACAUGCAGUAUAAAGGCGGAGAUGGAUGCCAUUAUCACUGGAUGGAUUUUGUGCCCAUCAUGAGGGGCAAUCACAUGGAAUAGAUUGAUACUGCAAGCAAUACUUUUAUAUUAGGUCUCUAUAUCUUAACCAGGCUGUUCACUUACAAGAAGGCAAAACAGGGAGAGGAUGAGUACAACAGCUCUGCAGACAAAAGGAGUCAAGUUGUGAUAGAAGGUACGUCUUCAUCUCUAUUACACAACUUUAAAUAUGAGUUAUGAAGAUCCCAGCAGGUCAAACUCUCAUUAUAAAGAUGACUUUAACACUAUUAUAGCCCAGAGGUUCUGAUCGCUUAGGUGAAAAUAUCUUCAUCUCAUCAGCAGGGUCAGCUGAAGGUUCCUGGAAGCCCACAGAGAGUCGAGAUGGGGUUAUGAGAGGUCAUGUAGAACAGCUCAGUGUGACAGCAAAUCAGAGGCCACCCCCCCAGAUGGAGUCACGUGAAACAAAAGGAAACAAGGAGACGAAACACAAACGCAAACCUCUGUGGGUUAACUCUAUCUACUUGGAGAUUUCUGCUGCACUGGUGACGUAUUGCCUCAUUACACUGUCAUAAAAAGGAGGAAUUUGCCUUGACUGAUGUUCAUUAAACCCUUAAAUUUAAUGUUUGCUUGCUCCUGGUUUAGAGAUUUAGCUCCACAGCGU